rnacentral:lncRNA from 1 species
CUUUUACCUUUUCUUUCUUUCUUCUCCAAAACUAGCAAUCUGAGAUUUCAACCUCUCUCUCUAAGAAGCAGCGGCAUGCUUUUCCAAACGCAAUCUGCAAUUUAAUCAAACAGCCACCGAAUUUUCUGGAAUCCGGUCAACGCAGCGAUGCUCCGGAUUUUGAUCGGUCAACGCCAGCUGCUUACCUGAGCUCCAAAAGACCCAACAGUGAUGACGUCUUCCACCUCUGUUUCUGUUUGGCUGAUUCUGCUGUUUGGCUUCUUUCACCUCCACAAGCUUGCAGCCAAUGUCGAGGGUAUGUCUCUGUGUGUUAUUGAAUUUGGGAGUGUUUGGUUGUGGGAACUGGAAUGAACUAAUGAAUGAAUGAAUGACUGGAAACAUUCCCGAAGAGCUUGGGGGUUUGUCAGACUUGGUGAGCUUGGAUCUUUACUUGGCAACCUUGCAAAACUGCGUUUCCUGUAUGAACCCCCAUCCUUUUGUUAGAUAAAAUCUAUCGUCAUUCUUUUUUAUUCGAUAUGCUAAUCUGCUGUUUUUAAUUGUUCCAUUGGAGUGACUUUCUUCCUUAAAGUCCUUGUGCCGGAUGCAUAUAAUUUAUAGUAUGAUCCCUGGUUUCAAGAUUCAGUCAUUGCAAGUCCUGUGAGUUUCAUACACUUUCAUCUCAGUAAGAGGGAGGAGAGAGUGAAAAGUUACUAAUUUCUCUGCCAUCAGAGAAUGCAAAUAACAUAUAGUUUUGCCAUGGAAUGCAGGGAUCUUUCAAAUAACAAUCUGACAGGGGAUAUUCCAGUUAAUGGAUCGUUUUCACUUUUUACUCCCAUCAGGUUUGUUGAAGCAACUGUACUCUUUUUCUUUAACUUUAGGGACAAAAAUAACAAUCUGACAGGGGAUACACUUUCAUCUCAGUAAGAGGGAGGAGAGGGUAAUAUAGCUUGAUCAAGUUGGUGUUGUAGUUGUUGUAUGGGAUGCAGGUUUCACUCAUCUACUGUCUUUGCAGCUGAGAAGGAUCCACAAGUUCAUUCACGACAGCUCAAAAACUUUUCUUUGCGCGAGCUACAAGUUGCAACAGAUACCUUUAGCGACAAAAAUAUUAUUGGUAGAGGUGGAUUUGGUAAGGUUUAUAGAGGACGCUUAGCUGAUGGAACUCUGGUUGCUGUAAAAAGACUUACAGAGGAGAGAACCCAAGACGGGGAACUACAGUUUCAAACAGAAGUUGAAAUGAUUAGAAUGGCUGUCCACCACCGCAAUCUGCUUUGUCUCCAUGGUUUUUGCAUGACACCAACAGAAAGGCUGCUUGUAUAUCCUUAUAUGGCUAAUGGAAGUGUGGCAUCUUGUUUAAGAGGUACUCAUCUAAAUUGUUUGCUGCGUUGAUGAAUCUUUUUGUUUUCACGACGUUAAAUUUUUUUUCGAUCACAUUGAUAUAAUGAAUUUAAAAACCUGACCAAUUUGGCUUGGAGUAUCAACACUAAUUUUUUUAAUGUUUUGUUUCCUUCAAUUUUAAUUUACCUUCUCGAUGCUGAUUUUAUUUCUGUUUAAUUUGAAAAGGAUGACAAGAAGACCCUUUUUUUGGGUAGGACGGGUGGUAUGAUAUGUGUUAGACCACAUUACCUGUUGCUUGUAAUUUGAAAUUCUCCUCUCAUAAGUAUGUGGAUAUAUUAUUGUAGGUCGUCCGGAAGGACAACCUGCACUUGAUUGGCCAAUAAGACAACGCAUUGCAUUGGGAUCUGCAAGAGGCCUUGCUUAUUUACAUGAUCACUGUGAUCCAAAAAUUAUUCACCGUGAUGUGAAAGCAGCAAACAUAUUGUUGGAUGAGGAAUUCGAAGCAGUUGUUGGAGACUUUGGGUUGGCUAAACUCAUGGACUACAAGGAUACAUAUGUUACCACACAUGUAUGUGGCACAUUUGGUCAUAUGGCACCGGAGCACUUUUCAACUGGAGUGUCUUCCGAGAAAACUGAUGUUUUUGGAUACGGAGUCAUGCUUCUUGAACUCAUCACUGGGCAGAGGGCUUUCAAUCCUCAUCUUGCGAGUGAUGAUGAUGUCAUGUUAGUUGAUUGGGUAUGCAUUUACGUCUUUCUGUUUGUGUAUGUAGCUAGUUCAUUGUUAUAUGCAAGAUUAUUUCCCAACAACAUUUGCAUUUCCUUAGUAAUUAGCUUUUAGAAAAUAAGUUUGGUUUAAUUAGCUUUUGUUAGUUAGAGUUAUGAUUAGCUGUGUAGAUUUGUUUAUCUUUAUUUAUAACAAUCUAAGGUUUAAACUGUCAGAGAUUAAUUAUUGCAUUUCCUUAGUAAUUGUUACUAUUGUUGUUGCUUCUUUUGCCAAUGUAUUGGCAUUUUGUGAUUUCUUGAAGAAUUUGGCAUAUGUUUUGUGUCGAUCGUAAUUUCCUCAUCAUCUCCUUAUUCUCGCUAUCGUGGCCUCUUGCUUUUUCCUAUUCUCUCUAUUGCAUCUUUGUCUUCUCUUUGCAUGAUAUCAAUAUUUGAAUGACGAAACAUUUUUGUAAGCAGUUCGAUUUUCUGUAGAAAACUGCGGUCCUUCAAAUUUUGAACAUUACAACACGUUUUUGUUCUCCUAGGUUCCCGCACCUUUUGUUUCAAAUUGUAGAACCACCCGACAUUUUCUGUUUUAUUUUUCCUAAAAAAAUUAGGUCAAACGACUACUGAAAGAACGGAGGUUGGAAAGACUUGUUGAUGCUGAUCUAAAUGGAAAUUAUAUUGACGAUCAAGUGGAGCAGCUGAUCCAAGUAGCUCUACUGUGCACACAAGGCUCCCCAGGGGAACGGCCCAAGAUGUCAGAGGUUGUCCGAAUGCUUGAAGGCGAAGGCGAAGGUUUGGCUGAAAGAUGGGAGGAGCGGCAAAACGAGGAGGUGAUCUGCCAAGAUUUCAACACUAUUCAUCAUCCAAGUACUUGGAUCAUAGACUCACCCUCUCCUAAUUUUGUGUUGUACUAUUUCUUUGAGUUUGAAGAAAUGGAUAAAAAGAAUGACAUGUGAUAGAGAGUUCAUCAUAUAACUUCUGACUUUAAGGAUUUUUCAUUUAGUUCUGGUUCAUGUUGCGCAAAUAAUAUUAGGUAACACUGCUACUGGGGCUAUUGCUGGAGGGGUUGCUGUUGGUGCUGCUUUAACGUUUGCUGCAACUGCAAAUACACUUGCUUAUUGGCGACGGAGAAAACCACAGGAUCAUUUCUUUGAUGUACCUGGUUAGUGAACUAUAGGAGUAAUAUAGCUUGAUAAAGGUGGUGUUUUAGUAUGGGAUGCAGGUUUCACUAAUCUACUGUCUUUGCAGCUGAGGAGGAUCCAGAAGUUCUUUUAGGACAGCUCAAAAGGUUUUCUUUGCGCAAACUACAAGUUGCAACGGAUAACUUUAGUAACAAAAAUAUUCUUGGUAGAGGUGGAUUUGGUAAGGUUUAUAAAGGACGCUUAGCUGAUGGAACUCUGGUUGCUGUAAAAAGACUUAAAGAGGCGAGAACCCAAGGUGGGGAGCUGCAGUUUCAAACAGAGGUUGAAAUGAUUAGCAUGGCUGUCCACCGCAAUCUGCUUCGUCUGCAUGGUUUUUGCAUGACACCAACAGAAAGGCUGCUUGUAUAUCCUUAUAUGGCUAAUGGAAGUGUGGCAUCAUGUAUAAGAGGUACUCUUCUAAAUUGUUUGCUGCGUUGAUGAAUCUUUUUGUUUACACAUGGGUAAAUUGCAUUUUACACCCUCAGGUUUGAGUGUAAUUGCAACCUCAUACAACAUUUUAAAACAUUUCAAUUUUAUUUAUUUACUUAUCAUUUUUAGCAAUUUCAUACAUCUGAUAGUCAAACCGUCAGUUUGACUGUUAAGGGAUGACAUGGCAAAUGUGAGGUCUACAUUUUGUUGACGGGGAUGCCAACUAUGAUUCACGUGGAAUAAAAACAAAUAAAAAGGAUUAAUAAAUAGAAAAUUAAUUUUUUUUUAAUUUAAAACUAAAAAAAUAGAAAAGAUUAAAAAAAAAAAAUGGUGUUGUUCAUCCCUAUCCUGCUCUCACCCCGUCCCCGCAUUCUUCAUUUCCCCCCGCCCACCAUCGCCACCUUCCCUUUCCUCAGCCACUGCAAUGAAUAGACCACAUUACCUGUUGCUUGUAAUUUGAAAUUCUCCUCUCAUAAGUAUGUGGAUAUAUUAUUGUAGAUCGUCCCGAAGGACAACCUGCACUUGAUUGGCCAAUAAGACAACGCAUUGCAUUGGAAUCUGCCAGAGGCCUUGCUUAUUUACAUGAUCACUGUGAUCCAAAAAUUAUUCACCGUGAUGUGAAAGCAGCAAACAUAUUGUUGGAUGAGGAAUUCAAAGCAGUUGUUGGAGACUUUGGGUUGGCUAAACUCAUGGACUACAGGGAUACACAUGUUACCACAGCUGUACGUGGCACAAUUGGUCAUAUAGCACCAGAGUACCUUUCAACUGGAAAAUGUUCCGAGAAAACUGAUGUUUUUGCAUACGGAGUCAUGCUUCUUGAACUCAUCACUGGGCAGAGGGCUUUUGAACUUGCUCGGCUUGCGACCAAUGAUGAUGUCAUGUUACUUGAUUGGGUAUGCUUAUACGUGUUUCUGUUUCUGUUUGUUGCUAAUUUUCUGUUUUCCUUAAUAUGUUUCAUAUUUUAUUAAAAAAAAAAGACAUAAUGUUGUUGAAAUUCAACGAUCUAUUGUGUCUCUUUGUCCAAAUCUUGGAAAUUAUGUUUCAAUACUCAUUUUUAAAGAAAUGUUAUAUAAUAUAGUGUGAAUUAGGUGUAUCUCUCGAUACCAAUGUUGCUAUUUAUUUAAGCCAAAAAUAAUGGGUCUCGACACCUAAUCACUUUAUUUCAAACCGCUAAUCUCAUAUGACAUUCUUAAUCAUUGUAUAUGGAACAUUUAAAAACCUAUUACUCAUCAUAGAGCUGCCAAGUUCCUCUCUAAUUAAUGUAAAAAUCACUUAGUCUUUUUUGGCCCGAAUAUUGAAAACAAUUAGAAUCAUGGAUCAAAGAAAAGAACUAAUACUUAACUUUUAGAAAAUAAUUUUAGUUUAAUUACCUUUUAUUAGUUAGACUUACGAUUAAACUGUGAAGAUUUAUUUAUCUUUAUUUAUAACAAUCUAAGAUUUAAAUUGUCAGAGAUUAAUUAUUACAUUUCCUUGGUAAUUGUUGUUAGUAUUGUUGUUGCUUCUUUUGCCAAUGUAUUGGCCUUGCGGUGAUUUCUUGAAGAUUUUGGCAUGUGUUUUGUAUCGAUCCUAAUUUCUUCAUUAUCUCUUUAUUCUCGCUAUCUUGGCCUCUUUCUUCUUUCUAUUCUCUGUUUGCAUCCUUGUCAUAUGUUUGCAUCAUAUCAAUAUUUGAAUGACGAUGCAUUUUUGUAAGCAGUUUGAUUUUAUGGAGAUACUGCAGCCCUUCAAAUUUUGAACAUUACAACACAUUUUCACUCUCCUAGGUGCCCUCACCUUUUGUUUCAAAUUGUAGAACUAUCUGAUUUUUUUCCUUUUUAUUUUAACUAAAAUAAUUAGGUCAAAGGACUACUGAAGGAUCAGAGGUUGGAAACAAUUGUUGAUGCUGAUCUACAUGGAAAUUAUGUUGACGAUCAAGUGGAGCAGCUCAUCCAAGUAGCUCUGCUGUGCACACAAGGCACCCCAGGGGAACGACCCAAGAUGUCAGAGGUUGGCCGGAUGCUGAAAGGUGAUGGUUUGGCUGAAAGAUGGGAGGAGUGGCAAAAAAAGGAGGUGUUCCGCCAAUAUUUCAACCCUAUUCAUCAUCCAAGUACUAAUCGGAUCAUAGACUCAACUUCUCAUGGUCCUCUAGAUGAGUUGUCCGGUCCUAGAUGAUAUGCUCGUUGGUUCCGUCCCCUUGUAUACAUGUAAGAAGCCUCAGAGGACUAGAGAAGGUCCAUUUUGUAUUUCAGUGAUACCACAUUUGUGCGAAUGUUUUGUCUUUGUUUUCGAUUUUGUUUUUGUGUCGCUUAUUUUUAAGAUCACAAAAAUGGAGCUGGUGCUGUUGUAAUUUUUAUAGGGUUAACUGGCAUUACGAAGUUAUAUUGUGCUAGCAGGAAUCAGGAAGGUCCAUAAAAGCACCCAUUCCUAAUGAUUUAUGUAUCUUUCCAACAAUUAGUCCAGAUUGUCGAGUAAAUAAUCUUUCUGAACUUAUAACUAUCUAUAUUUUUUAGUGUUCUUAUAGAUCCUAUAGAUACAUCCUAUAGAUACGAUAAGGGCAUUAGGUCAAGUGCAUGGGUGCUUGUGGACGGAUAGUGUUUGAAAUUUCAUUGUGAUCAUUGCAAGUGCAACUUUGUGGCGCUACCCUUAUAAGCACUUGAACUAAGGCAUUAGGGGAUCUAGAGAUCACUUUGUGUCACUCCAACAUGGGAAUUCGAGUUGUCUAUCCUCUUUAGAGAAUCGCCAAUGGAGACCCAAACCUAAAUAUUUGGGUUUAAACAAAAUAAAAAUGGAAUCUAACGGUGGGACUUUUUUUGUUUUUUUGAACAAAAAAUAUUAUCUACAUUAAAGGGGUAGGGGAUUAUGUUAAUCCUUAUAGUGAACAAAAAAUUACUAUUUAAUAUUUUAUAUAUUUAUUCAAAAUUUUAUAUUAUUAUAUCACUAUUUUAAUAUUUUCUUUGUGAUAUAUUUUUAUUUUUUUAUUAAUAUUUUCGGCCUGUGGGGUCCACAAUCACCCAGGCUCUUCUCUCAUUUUCUGCCAUGUGUUUUGUCUCCUCCCUCACUCCACCUCUCCCUCUCUCCCAUAAGACUCAUUUCCUCUCUCCUUCGGUGAAACCCAAUGACGCCGAAACCACCACCACCUUGCCGAUGCGACUCCAGCGGGUUACUCCACUUGAUGACCCAGGCUAGCACCACCUUCGUCAUUUUCUCCCCCUAUGUCGAACCAGCACCACUCACUUUCUUCCCCGAGGCCAUUGUUCACAUUUUUCUUUUUCGACAACAUUCAUGGCGAGUUCUCGUCGUUCAUGACAAAGGUAAGGUUCGAAAACCCUCAACAUCUUCGUAGAUUGUGUUUAUGAGUAUGACGAGGAUGUUCUUAAGAUGUUUUAGUGCUGGUUUGACGUAGAAAUACCCCAAGAGUAACAAACCCAGUGUUCCGGCAGAGAUCUGGCGGCUUUCGAGCCAUUUUUUGGCCAACUCCGGCCAAGACCAAGGAAACCAAAGGUAUAUUCCAAUUCCUUGAUCCGAAUCUGAACUCGGGAUCCGGCCCGAUCUGUUCUAAAUUGUAUAUGAAAUAUUCCAGAAUAUUCCCUGUGUUGACUUUUAAGAAAUUUUCUCAGAAACCCUCAUAGGCUAAUUUUGACGUCCCAAGUCCAUUUUUGACAUCUAUUUAGGAAAAUCAUGAAGUUUUAACAUAGUUGACCACCAAGGCGUCUCGUUGACAUUUUAGGGUUGACCGUUCACAUUUCGUUGACUUUUUACAAAAUUUGCAUUUAACCCCUCUUAGCGUAUUUCGACACUCUGAUUCUAAAUUCGCACUCCGUUUUCUCAAAUUUGAUCGUUUAAGUUGAGUUUUACUAAUGAGUCCUAAUAUUAUACUUUGGUGCGAUUACUAUCGGAGACUCCGACUUUCUUAGCUUGAAAGGAUGUGACAUCGCAGGUACUUGUGAGUGGGUCUUUUCUUUUAUAUAGUGUGUAUAUAUAUAUAUAUAUAUAUAUAUAUAUUUGUUAGUUUCCAUUUAUAUAUUUGGUAAAGAAUUUUCUAAGUUACACCUAUAUUAGGGUAACGUAUAUAAAAAUUAACGUAUUGACAGAAUUCAUGUAAUUAUACUACGUUCUAUGGGAUACACAGGUAUGCGUAUUAGUAUGGAUGCUUUAAUGGUAUUUACGGUUAUGAAUAAUAUUCCAUUGACUAGGGUUAUUGAAUUAUCGCAUUAUCAAUUUACCAUUGCAUGAUCAUAUUUGUGUUAUUUACUCAUCGUGUGCUGCACUGGUGUUAGUACUUGCCCAGGCCAGGGCCAAUCUUUCACGUGUAUGUUCACAUCGCACUGUACGCUUAGUUUGGAUCCAUUGUAGGUGUAAUCCUAUCCUAGAUUGCGAUAGGCAAUUAGGACUCAUAUGUGAGGCACUUAGCGCUAGCCUUCACGUGAUUGUAGUACUAGAGCGUAAAUCAUUGCUUACACCCAGUCAUGUUCAUGUCAGAAUACCUCUGCAUGAACUCGUGUAUCAGCAUAUGUCAAUGAGCACUCGAUGUGAUAUGUUUAUUUCUGCGAGAUAUUGUGAUUACUAUAAGUUAUGUACCUAUUUAUGAAUUUUGUGACGUAUUGAAUUCUUAAGAUUUUGCAGGCUACAGUAAGUAUUUUCAUACUAUACGUAGUAUGUAAAUUUUGGAAACUAUACUUGUUUUACGAUAAGGGGUUAUAAUGUUUUCAAAAAGCUUUUUAUAAAACUUUAUUUUAGGCCCACUCACCCUUGUUUUUCUCCCCUCUAAGAUUUAGUGGCAAUGUUCGUGUCGACAAGGAUUUCUAGCAAACGCUGAUAUCAGAGACUACUUCUGAUGGUAUAAUUCUCAAUCUACUCUAUUGUACUUUACUUAUACUCUGACAUCACAUGUGAACUAGGUUGAUUCCCGCUCACUAACGCACUCUUAUACUUAGGCACUUUUAGAUUUAAAUUUAUUUCCAUUUUCCAAAUCACUAUAUUUUAUGGCUUCGUCACUCUCCUGGUGUCGACCAGCACACCUCGAUUCGGAGCCUAAGUAGGCAUUCCGGGUCAGGGUGUGUCAGUUUGGUAUCAGAGCAUAAGUUUGGUCAGCAUUGCGUUCAUCACACGCGUGCUGUAAGCAUUCUUGGUUCUUGAACCUAAUUGUCGAAUCUUGUCACCUCGUCGAAUACAAAAAAUGUGUUAGCUUUUCUUGAGUUAUGGGUUACUUAGACGACUUAUUGACAUGUUAGAAGAAUACUUUGGCGACCACCUCUAAACUUUAAGCGAAGGAUUUUCCUGCCAAGGAAAUAUGUAGAUUUGAGACAAGUUGAUGGCCCUGAAGCAGGGCUACUAUAUCGAUAGUUGUGCAUCACGAGAGAUUUACCAACCAAAUCCACUACCAUCUGGUCAUUUCUACCAACCCUUUUAAGUUAGAAAACCAUAAACAGUUUUGAUUCCUUGGCAUUACCCGUUAGUAUACCACAUAUCAGAAUUCCUGUGAAGUUUUAGUUUUUGUCAAAAUUUCCAAAAAUGUCCCGAAUGACAAUGUGGUGCUAAAAGGGUAGCAUUCGACAGAAGAACAUCUAGGGGAUAAUCACUUUUGUUCCCUGAUAACACUAAUCUUCUUAAGCGCACUGGUUAUCAUUUCGGAUCCUCAGGAGGAAGAUCGAUUUCCAUUUAGGUUAUUAACAAAUUUCUUUUCCGGUGUGGACCCCACCAUUGACAUUUGGUCAACAGGUCUUGAACCAUUUGAAUUACUAAAAUUAGUAUUACUAGAGACUCAGUGAAGCUUUGCUGACUUGUCUCGGUGAGUGACUUUAAUAUAUGUGAUAUGGUGAUUACCCGAUUCUUUAUAUUACUAUCCUUUGUGGAUAUGACAUGGUUUUAUAAAUGUGUUUUCUGUUAAAAUGUGAUUCUUUUAUAAUUGGCCAUCGAUCUAUUUUUAUUAAAUGUGAUUUGAUUCAUGGAUUGGUAAUAUUUGUGAAAAAGUGAUUCGAAUUGCAUAUUGAAAUGUUUUGUAAAUUGAGGGCUAGUAGAGGACUAUGACCCUGCUUGGUUAAUCCGCAUUGGGGGGUCAUUAGUGGUCCUGCUUGGUUAAUCCGCAUUGAGGGACCAUACUAUAUAUGGAUCGUGCUUGGUUAAUCUGCGUUGGGCGAUCCUUAUGGCCAUUUAUACUUAGGGGUGAUCAUGCUUGAUUAAUCCGCUUGGUUAAUUCGCAUUGGGGGGGGGGUGAUGAGUUCAUAUUAUACUAUAUAUUUCACCCUAUUCUUAGUAUUAAUUUAUUGAUUAUUUUGGUAGAAUUUUGAUACUUUGUUUUAUAUUUUCAACAUAGGAUAUUCAAUUUCCUCUGGAACAAAACUUGACCAAAUGGACGAAAUUUCGAGUGAUUCAAAUUGGAGGACGUUCGUGUGUUGUUUGUGUCAAAAUAUCAGAAAUUUCUACCAAGCGGUUAUUUUCUGGAGAUUAAAUGAAGGAGCAGUGCGCAUUGCUGGAAAGUGACAUUUCUGGGCUUAAACUACAUUUUUGGAGCCCGAGAUGACUUCGGCUGGAGAAGUGUUCAGAAUAGUCCAAACUUUAGAUCCAGCUAUUUUGGGCCAGUUUAGGAUUAUAUUUCCUAUUUUAUUUCUAUUUAUUACGUUUCCUGGUUUUAUUCUAAGACCUUUUAGGGUUUUAUUUUGUAUUAGUAUAAAUAAGGCUUUUUAGCCAUUAGGUUAAGAAAUAGGGGAGAGAACGCACACAUUUUGGCUUUAGAGAGCUUUUGACGAAUCAAGUGUAUUUUCAAGGUGUUUUCUAUCCAUGUUUUUAAUAAUAUUUUAUUUUAUGAUUGUUUGUAAUUAGUUUUGUUUGCUAGGGUGAGGCCACGAGCCUUAGCAAAAAUAUGUAUUUUUUUUUUCAAUUUGCUUAUAAUAUUAUGCAUGCAAGUUUUGAAUUAUUAACCACUGUGCUUUAAACUAUCUAGUUGUCUUGAUGAUUGGCCACCAUUAGGAUAUUUAGAAAAGUAAUUUGAUGCAAUUUUGGUGGAGGGCUGUCCCUGGAAUUGGCGUUGGCUUCUUGUGGUUAAUAUGUGUAACCUCUUAGGAUGGACGACAUGUUUUAAGGGUUAUAUGGUUUUUCAAAAGGUUUUCACAAAACUUAAUGAGUCUUGCAUGUUCACAUUCGAUCUGGACGCCACAGACGGGUUUCAAGUAGGGCAUACUUUAGGAAAACCUAACCUUCAAAAUAUGCAUGGGUAAUUCAUAAGUAAUUGAAAGAACUACGUAGAAUUGUUAAGGUGACAACGGAACCCUAGUGCUCAAAUUUAUUUUCAAAACUAUUUUCUUUUGUUUUUUUUUAUUACUUUGCCAAUUUAUUUAAUUUUUUUUAAUAAAAUUCAUUUUUAAUAUUUUAGGUCAUAAAAUCAACCUCUUCUAAAUUUUGUUUUCAAAUCAUUAAUUAAGAUUUGGUUUUAACAUAAAUUAUUCAUUCAAUCCCUGUGGAGAUCGACCUUACUUGAGCUGCUAUACUAUGACAACCUUGUACUCUUGCAAGUAUUUUUAAAUGUUUUUAUCUCUAAUUUUGCAGGUGGUAAAAAUCCCUACCAGAGGGUCACUAGUGGUCUUGCUUGGUUAAUCCACAUUAGGGGACCAUACUAUAUGUAAAUCGUGCUUGGUUAAUCCACGUUAGGCGAUCCUUAUGGCCAUGUAUGCUUAGGAGUGAUCAUGCUUGGUUAAUCCGCAUUGGAUGAUCACUUCCUAACAGCUGUAGGAGUGACUCUGCUUGGUUAAUCCGCUUUGGGGGGGUCACUGCCUACUUGGUUACUUUCUCAUGGGUGGCUUUGCUUGGUUAAUCUGUUUUGGGAGGCCACUUCGUGUUUGGUUACUUAUGUAGGCUUCUGCCGAACUGCGUCCCUCUAGCCCUAGUUUUUAAUGUACAUAUGAACGAUGGUUUUUGAGAAUCUUGGUGGUUUGAAUGGGAAAAGCCAUUGGAUGUUUGGGUGACUCAUUCGGAGUUGUUAGAGACUUGACUAUGUUUUCAUAUUUACAAACUUAUAUUUGAGGUUUAUAAACUGUGAUUGAUGGUCUUUCUUUUUAUUGAUUAUCACAUACUUGUAUUAUUGUCACUCACCCGAUUUUACAUAUGACAGGCCUGGGUAGAUUAUGAGAAACCGCUUGAUAUUUUGGUUUCAUUGAGUAAUCCGGAACCCGGUGUCGUUGGAUUCCGUUGAGUGAUUCGAAAUCCUUGUUCUCGCUCAUUCCCAUAAGGUUAGUCUAGAACCCUAGAUUUGAGUGAAUGAAAAUUACCCACAAUAGACCUUGUGAAUAUGAAAUAGAUUUACCAUGUUAUUACUGAUAAUCCAAGUAGAAAAUUAUAUAGAGUUCCUUGGUUAAAUUUGUGAAAUGAUAUGUUAUUGCAUUCAUUGAUUAGCAUAUUUAAAUGCUAAGAUCAUGUAUCUUUGAUUCAUGAAUUGAUUGAUUGACGGAAUUGUGGAAUGACUUGGUUAUGGUUGUUAUUAUUUUGAUUAUUUUAGUUGAUCAAUGUGGCUUGAGAAUAAUAUGUGCUUCGUUGGUUAUUUGAUAUGUUACAUGUUGUGGAUGGAAGUAUCGUGCUGAAAACAUAGAAUUUAUAUGAUGGAUGGAAUGAGAAUCUUGAACGGCAUGUUGGUUUGUUUUGUAGCCAUGAACUUGGUAAUGUCAUGCAUGUCAAGUUCUAAUAAUUGAUUACAGAAUGCUAUGUAUUCCUAUUAGAACGCACUGGAAUAAAUGUCUAAAUUAGUGAACGAUGAACUACGAACGGCUUGAUCCCUAAUGAGGGUACGUAGGCAAUCUAACGAGGAGGUUAGAUGCAGCCAUAAAGUAUACGAAAAAUUACUAUGCGAUUCAAUUCUCAAGUUGUGAUUUGCCAUAUCCCGGAGGCGGGGUAUGUUGAGAUACGGGUAUUUGGUGACGUCACAUGUCGAUCCUGAACAUAUGUUGGGAUCGGGGCGUGACAUUUUUGAUCACUUCCAUAGGUAGACAGUAGAAUCAAAGUACGAGUUAAUUUCUUGCUAUUAAAGUGAAUUGAGUAUCGAGAAAACUAUGAAGACCUUUUAGUUCAUGUCGUAGAGUUGGGAAGUAGUAUUGUACGUUUUGAUGACGUAUAUCCAAGUGUCUAUUUCAAAAAUUUACCUGAGAUAUCACCAAAUUGUGAAGUAAGAUACACUAUCAACCUAUUUUCUAAUACGACACCUAUUAUCCUUGCAUCUUAUCGAACGACUCCUUUGACUUGAGAAACUUAGUUACAAAAGCUUAUCGAUUAGGAAUUCACCCAACCAAACACUUUAUCUAGGGAACCCUAAACCUAUCCAAGAAGACAAUAGGUUGAACCUUAAAACUGUAUCUAGAUUUUAGCAACUCUAUCGAGUGACAUUUAACUCCGUUAUACCAUACUUUGAAUUUAUGGUCUAUCCAACCAACCUCUGAGCCCAAGUUUUCUUCCGUAGCUUGUCAAAUUCGUAGUGGUUUUACCGAUGACUUUCUCACCUACCGUAGCAACGGGAGCAAAUUUUCUAAACACUGACAGUCAGCUUUAUACCAAAUUCCUCAAAUAUUACCUUUGUUUUAGAUUUCUUGGGAGACGUGAUCUCAACAGAGACGUUCUUGUCAAUUUCCAAAAAGGUUGCACAUGAAGAAGAUUUCAUAUUCCACAAAUCGUUGUGAAUAAUGCGAUAUCCUUGGCCUUGUUGGUUAUAUCGACAUUUCGUUAGUAACUUUUCAGCAGUGGUGUUUUUCCUUGCAAGUUGACCGAGGAAAAUCAGUUUAACUGAGAUGUGGAAUAUGAUUACAGUUGUGACAACUGAGGUGUUGUCUAUUUCUUACCCUUGUUCGUACACCUUUCGAUAACAUUGAAUGAUUUGGCUGCAUACUGAUAGAAUAUGACGAAGUAUUGCUUAUGUUUCCCAACGGUUGAAACCAUAUAAAGUGAACUAACUUACUAUUGACCUAGAGUCAACAAUUACCAUCUUUCCUUGAAACUGGAUGACACUUCUCUAUGGAGAAUCUUGUCCAAAAUCUGUACCAACCUUAGACUUCUCAAAUACAUCUUCAUUUGUAAUGAGCUAAAUUUCUGACAGUAGUGAUGGACGAACUAAAUCAACGUUUACGAUUACACUAUCGUGUAUUACCCUGGUUGUGUAAACGUAAUUACUGUUCACCGUAGUAAAAGAUGUAUCUACCCUUGAACAUUUUCAACCUGUCCUAUUCCAACUCAUUUGGAAUUCAUGAGUAUUGUUAUGACGUGACUUACGAAUCCUCAAGAAAUCGUUCGAGUGGUUAUAAUCACUUACUGUAUUUGAAUAGAGAUGAGAAAUAUCACCAUAAGUUCCUAGUACGAGGUAUUUUGUACAUGUGGAUAUUAUGAUAAUGUUUCGAUGAUUAUCUAUCAACUUGACAAGUCAGCUCACCUUCUGUUGGUCGAGAAGAACUACAUUUUAGACCACUUAUCAAAAUUUCUCAUUCUUGAACUUAUUAGACUUUUUGACGUUUUGAUCAGCAUCUAAUCUAACUGUGAUUCCCUAUUCACCAUCUUGGGCUGGAAAGCAUUCCAAUCAACCUUAGGUACGUCUUACCCUACAACACUUUGUAUUAUUUCUUAAGCAAAUAGAUUGUUUAGAUGAACCGCUGACAUUGAAGUUUUAGUUAUGACCAUUAACUCCUCAAUCACCUAACAAAUACUUUACUGAACGAAUCUUUACCAUUAGUGAUUGAAUAUUCUGAAAGCUACCGUUGUAGUGAGAUAUUAUGCAUUCAAUCCAGCCAUCUUGUACUCUAGAUUCGAUGAACUUGUUUUGACCCUCAAAUUCUUGAGUGUUCAUUUAGCCUUUUCGGCGUAAUGUUUCACUAAACCCGAGUGGAAAUUCAUAAUGAAUCUACUUGCUGAGGCAUAUGUGAAUUACAGUGUUUGGUUGCAUAGUGUGCAUGACACUACUGUAUCUUAUUAUGAUGCGCAUUUCGCUUCCAAGUUUUGGGAAGCCUUCUUGAAGGCCAUGCGUAUUAAGUUUUGUCACAUACCACAUUUCACCCUCAGACUAACGGUCAGUCUGAAUGAACUAUUCAGACCUUAGAUAACAUAUUUCUUUUGUAUGUUUUAUAGUUUUAACUGGUUAUGUUAGACACCUAUCUUUGCUUAUGUUGCGUACGACGAUAGUUAUUAUUAUGGUUUGGCUAUAGUAUUGUUUAAGCUGUGAUAUAGAGAUUUUACGCACGGAACAUGUUUGACAGACGAGUAUUGCGAACAAGUAUUCGAAUGAUCAGGAUUAAGAUGUAGCAAACUAUGAGAUAUUGACGAUGUCGCCGAAGAGGGUCAUGCGUGAAUGCAAUCAAGGCGUUAAUCAGAUGAUUUAUGUGUAUUUCCCAAUGAGGGGCAAGAUGGUAAUAUUGCACCCUCAUGAAUUAUUUGCUUGGUUAUUGUGACAACACCGUAAUAUUGAUAACUUAUUUAUUGUUUGGACUUGACCCAAAGAUACUACACUUAUUCUCGGAUUACGUGACGCUACAAGUGCAUAGGUGACAUUUUUCUAUGUUCAGUUUUGAUUUCAGUACAACUAUCUUGAUUCUACGUUAUUGUGUAUAUGUAUUUUAAUUUGACGUUAUGUUUAUAUAUAUAUUACCUUAUGUUUUUAUAAAAUAUAAUAUUAUAGUAUUGUGCUGAAGGAGAAGGAAAGUAUGAGUUUGGAGCCAUAAAAUAGGAAUCAUUGCACACCUAUCGCGACAGAAUGACAUUCUCUUUUAUGCAACCGCUCUAGCUUGAAUUCUUCUUUAUAUAUUUUCCUUCUGUCUUGAGUAUUUUAUGUUUAGCAACUUAUUUCAAAUUUUGGGGACAAAAUUUUUUUUAAGGGGUGUAUAUUGUGACAACUCGUCCCUACUUUUAUGAUUUUAUUAAUUUUAAAAGCGUGAAUUGGCAAAAAUGCUCUAGCUUGAAUUCUUCUUUAUAUAUUUUCCUUAUGUCUUGAGUAUUUUAUUUUUAGCAACUUAUUUCAAAUUUUGGGGACAAAAUUUUUUUUUAAGGUGGGUAGAUUGUGACAACCCGUCCCUACUUUUAUGAUUUAAUUAAUUUUAAAAGCGUAAAUUGACGAAAAUGCCCAAGAGGCGAGAUUAUUGACUUUCGUUGAUCGUUGUUUGUGACACGUAUGAGUUAUUACUUUACCGUACCCUUGAAGUACUCGAUGGUAAAAACGCAUAGGCGCAAGCGGAAUCGAAUUUGGAGCAACGAUGAAAAUUUUAUUGAACAAUGAAUCCGAAAAAUACUUUUGUAAAAAUUACUAUUUUAUAUUUUAUAUAUUUAUUCAAAAUUUUAUAUUAUUAUAUCACUAUUUUAAUAUAUUUCUAUGGGAUAUUUUUUAUUAUUUUAUUAAUAUUUUCGGCCCAUGGGGCCCACACUCACCCAAGCUCUCAUCUCAUUUUCUGCCAUGUGUUUUGUCUCCUCCUUCUGUCCUGUAAGACUCCCCUUUUUCUCUCCCUUGGUGAAACCUAGUGACACUGGAACCACCACCACCACCACCACCUUGCCGUUGCGACUCCGGCGAGUUACUCCACUCGAUGACCCAGGUUGGCACCACCUUCGUCGUUUUCUCCCCCCUCCAUGUCGAACGAGCACCACUCAUUUUCUUCCCCAAGGCCACUGUUCACGUUUUUCUUUUCUGACGACAUUCAUAGCAAGUUCUCGCUGUUCAUGACGAAGGUAAGGUUCGAAAACCCUCAAUAUCUUUGAACACCCUCAAUAUCUUCGUAAAUCCCGUCCCUGAUUUUCACUAUUGCAAAUUACGUAUGUGUAUUAAGGAGUUAUUAUAUUAUUUUUGGAAUUUAUAUUAAUUGUAGAGUGUUGAGAUUGUGUAUUCAAAAGAUAUCAAUGUGAAAAAGCUACAAUUAAAAAGUUGCCCUUAAUUAAUUAAGGAGAGGAAAAAAAAGGGAACUUUAACGAAAAGCUCCCGGUACUGUUCAUUUUAACGAAAAACCACAUUUUUACACUAAAAAGUCAAUCCUGGUACUAUUCACUUUACCCUUUAUUUUGUCCUUAUCGUUAAAACUCAAAGUUUUCAAGCCCUUUUCAUUAGUUUUCCUAAAAAAAAAAGAAAAGGAAUUUGGGGAGAGAAAUGAAGGAGGCUUGGCCAACGGGAAGGCGGGAGAGAAAGAAGGCUGCCAAUGAGAAAAAAGGAAAGGAGGAGGAAAGAGGGGAGGGGAGGGACACCAGAUUCCCUGCCCAAUUGUCUUUUCCGACCUGAACGCGUCAUUGCUACCACUUCCGACGGGUUUUCCGUCCAUUUUUUGGCGAUCCACCAUUUUUGAAAUAAUGUUCUUCAAUUACCACCACAAAGACACUCAUCUAGAGGUCAGGAAAAAAGCCCAAGCAAGAUUGGGGGUGUUGGAGUUCGAAUUGAGGACGAAUCAAAUGACACCCAUUUCAAGGGUUCCGGCGGAUCGAGGCAAAAUUGAAGGGUUCCCCGGCAAAAUUGGACCUCGGCCCAGGUAUGAAAAUUUCUCCCCGCACUGAUAUCUACAUGCCUGUAAAGUUUGGUAAUUUUUGGAAAUAGUUGAAUUUUCGGCAAGUCGGGGCUGCCGACCGCCACCCGCGGCGGCGGCCUGCCCAGUGGGCCGACGAUGUCCUUUUAAGUUCAAAUAGAUGCCUUGAUUUCAUAAUUGAUAUCCGUAUGACGUAAUUUGAUUGUUUGGACUUAGUUUCAUUACGAUACCUCAUGUUGAUGCACAAAACCGGAGGUUUUGGGACAAUAUAAAUCCGAUCGUGAAUCUGCAAGUAAUGUAAGUAACACAAGAUGUAUCGUGGUUCACCCCAAUGUUUGGGCUACGUCCACACUGAUUAUUGAAUUUCUUUAAGAUGCUGAAGAGGGAGAAAGAGAGUUUCUCUGUGAGGAUGAGAGCUCUGAGAGGGUGAAGGUACGGCCUAAGAAAUGGCCUCCCUUCAUGAAGAGAGUGAGGGGUCCUUUUAUAGAAUAAGGGCUCCUCACUUAUUACAUAUUUGCCCUUUAUUUAUUACAUAAUUACAUUUGAGUCCCCCGAGUAUUUAUACGAGAUCUAAAAACGGAGGCCCUAAGUAUGGUAUAAACAGUAAUCCCCCAAGUCUUCAGUCAAGAUAGUCUUUUGGCUGGAGACUUGAAAUUCAGUCCAUGUGUGGACCAAAGUAACUAGACAUCGUCUAGGACUGAUACUCGAUAUGAGGCGGUGCUCAAUCUGAAAUGAUGCUCAACUAGAAGUAGCACAUGUUGCGAGGCUGCUUGGCUUGUGGCUUAUGUUGUCUUGGUUGGCUUGGCUUGUGGCAUUGAAGGUAAGGGAGUCCCUUUUAUAGAAUAAGGGCUCGCUCCUCAAUACAUGAAUGAUAGGCUAGAGUUGAUGCUCGCGGCGAGGGCAUUGCUCAGCUGGCGACGAUGCUCUCUAAUGAUGGUGAGGGAGUCUCUUUUAUAGAAUAAGGGCUCGCUCCUCAAUACAUAAGUGAUGAGUUAGGAGUGAUGUUCCCGGCGAGGCGAUUGCUCAGCUGGCGGCGAUGCUCUCUAAUAAAGGUGAGGGAGUCCCUUUUAUAAAAUAAGGGUUCGCUCCUCAGUACAUGAAUAAUGGGUGCUUUCUAAUGAAAGUGAGGGAGUCCCUUUUAUAGAAUAAGGGCUCGCUCAUCAGUACAUAAAUAAUGGGCUAAGUCCCCCAAGUAUUUUUCAUGAGGCCCAGUUGAGGCCCAAUAAAUGGUACAUAAUGUAGUCCCCCAAGUCUUCGGUCAAUAGAGUCUGUUGGUUGGACACUUCAAAUUGAAUCCAAGUAUGGGCUGAAGUGGCGGUUGUUCGGAGGCGGUAUUUGUAUACCCUGCACUGAAGCUUUGUAGGUGAAGCUUUGCAAGUGAAGCUUUGAAGCUAGAGCUCUGUAAAUGAAGCUUUUAAAGCUAGAGCUCUAUAAAUGAAGCUUUUGAAGCUAGAGCUUUGUAAAUGAAACUUCUGAAGCUAGCGCUUUUGUGAAUGAAGCUUUUGAAGCUAGAGCUCUGUAAAUGAAGCUUUUGAAGCUGAUUGACAUGAGUGAUGGUCAUGAAUGUUUAUGUUGAUUGACAUGAGUGAUGCUCAUGGAUGUUGAUGAAUGAUGGUCAUGAAUGUUUAUGUAUGAUUGACAUGAGUGAUGUUCAUGAAUGUUUAUGUAUGAUUGACAUGAGUGAUGCUUAUGUAUAAUUUUGGAGUACUGGAUGUACUUUUGAUCACCUGAUUGGUGAUAAUAGCGGCAGGCUGCCAAAUAAUUUUGGAGUACUGGGCGUACUUUAGAUCACCUGGUUGAUGAUAAUAGCGACAGGUUGCCGAAUAAUUUUGGGAGUACUGGGCGUACUUUAGAUCACCUGGUUGAUGAUAAUAGCGACAGGUUGCCGAAUAAUUUUGGGAGUACUGGGCGUACUUUUGAUCACUUGGUUGGUGAUAAUAGCGGCAGGUGCCGAAUAAAUUUGGAGCCAUAGGGCCUGGCUCUUUUGGGCAUAUGGGCAUUCGCCCUCCACAUGACAUUGCAGCCCACUAUUUUGGGCUUGCCCUUUUUUUUUAAAAUUUUUUUUAUUAUUACCCUCUGAUGGGGUUUAUAUAGAUGUCUCCGAAAGAUAAGAAAAAUAAAUUAUAUCAUUCAAAAAUAAAUCUCACCCUCUGCUCAAUGGGUUAUGCCCAUAAUUCCCUUUUCUGCAUGCCAUCACCACCGCAAUUAUGUCUGCUUCUUUUUAUCUUCUUUUGCUUUCUGCUUUUUACUUUCUGCUUUUCUUUUGCUUUCGGCCUGGUUGGUGCUAAGACCUUGUAGUGGGAUGGCAAACAGCUUGGCAUCAUUAUGUCUGAAUUCCUUUAUCAUCGUGGUGCCGAACCACUUUCCAGUUGUGUGUUUAAAGGAACCUGUUUUACCUUCACUGCUUUUUGACCAUACUUCCUCCAUCUAUACCCAAUUGAAGUAAUGAUUACUCCCCUGGAGCCGAUACUAGACCGGUUGAGUCAUUCUGGGAGGCAGCGGAAUGUUGACGUCUGCAACGUGCGGACCGAAGCCCAAAUGCGACGUCGUUUGGCCUGCCACCAGAAGAAGAAACAAACCGAGCAAAACAUUGAAACUCACCAGAGAGAUCGCCGGAGUCAGAGCUUAAGAGAGUAAACACCCAUGAUCCAUGUGAAGAGAGUGAGAGAGUGAGAGCAUGAGAGAGUAAACUCAUCCAAAUUAGAGUAAACUCACACAACUCCGGCCACAGAGUCGUACUCUUCCAUACCAACAUUUCCAUUUCCAACACUACCCUCCACGUUCUUCUUCACCCUCCCUGCAAUCACACGGCACACCAACAUUGCCCUCUUGUCACCCUCCUUCGUCGCCACCACCGCUUUAUCAUGAGCUCUGCUGCUUGUCGCAGUUGUCAAAAUACCCAGCUCCGUCAACUCCCCAGAGAACUUGUUGAAGCCGUUUUUUAUAAUGAUGCAAACAUUGCAGUGUGGGAUUAAGUUACUUGGAGAGCUUGGUGGCAAAGGUGGUGUAGUGGAAACGGAUGAGCUCGUUGCCGUCAGCGAUGCAGCGGGGGUGUUUCUUGGAGAGCUUGGUGGCUUUUACUUUGAUGGAGUCUCUAUACUCUUUGAAUUUGGUGAUGGUAUCUUGGGUGUUAUGGACUUUAAGGAUGCGGUCGAUUUUGUAGAUUGGGGUUCUUUUUUCAGCCAGCUGGACUGGAAUAUGAUCUCCACUAUGUUCUUGCUAGUAUCAUCAGGACUCCGAGCUUGUAUGGUGUCUCUACCGUCACAAGGAGAAGAUCAACCUCGCUGGUCACGAAGAGAAGAUCAGCCUCCGCUACUCAAGCUCCGACUCCAGCGAUCUCUCUUGUGAGUUUCACUGUUUUGCUCGGUUUGUUUCUUCUUCUGGUGGCGGGCCAAACGACGUCGCAUUUGGGCUUCGGUCCGUAAAUUGUAGACAUUAACAUUCUGCUGCCUCCCAGAAUGACUCAUCUGGUCUAGUAUCGGCUCCAGGGAGUAAUGAUUGCUUCAAAUGGGUAUAGAUAGAGGAAGUAUGGUAAAAAAGCAGUGAAGGUAAAACAGGUUGCUUUAAACACACAGCUGGAAAGUGGUCCGGCACCACGAUGAUAAAGGAAUUCAGACAUAAUGAUGCUAAGCUGUUUGCCAUCCCACUACAAGGUCCCAGCACCUACCAGACUGAAAGCAAAAGAAAAGCAGAAAGCAAAAGAACAUAAAAAGAAGCAGACAUAAUUGCGGUGGUGAUGGCAUGCAAAAAAGGGAAUUAUAGGCAUAACCCAUUGAGCAGAGGGUCGGAUUUAUUUUUGAAUGAUGUAAUUUAUUUUUCUUAUCUUUCGGAGACAUCUGUAUAAACCCCUUCAGAGAGUAAUAAUAAAAAAUUAAAAAAAAAACGGCAAGCCUAAAAUAGUGGGCUGCAAUGUCAUGUGGAGGGUGAAGACCCAUAUGCCCAAAAGAGCCAGGCCCUAUGGCUCCAAAUUUAUUCGGCACCCUGCCGCUAUUAUCACCAACCAAGUGAGCAAAAGUACGCCCAGUACUCCCAAAAUUAUUCGGCAACCUGCCGUUAUUAUCACUAACCAGGUGAUCAAAAGUACAUCCAAUACUCCAAAAUUAUUUGGCAGCUUACCGUUAUUAUCACUAACCAGGUGAUCAAAAGUACGUCCAGUACUCCAACAUUAUACAUGAGCAUCACUCAUGUCAAUCAUACAUAAACAUUCAUGACCAUCAUUCAUCAACAUCCAUGAGCAUCACUCAUGUCAAUCAACAUAAACAUUCAUGAGCAUCACUUAUGUCAAUCAGCUUCAAAAGCUUCCUUUACAGAGCUCUAUCUUCAAAAGCUUCAUUUACAGAGUUUUAGCUUCAAAAGCUUCAUUUACAGAGCUCUAGCUUCAAAGCUUCACUUGCAAAGCUUUCACCUACAAAGCUUCAGUGCAGGGUAUACAAAUACCGCAUCCGAACAAUCGCCACUUCGGCAUAUACAUGGAUUCUAUUUGAAGUCUCUAGCCAACAGACUUUAUUGACCGAAGACUUGGGGGACUACAUUAUGUACCAUAUAUUGGGCCUCAACUGGGCCUCAUGAAAAAUACUUGGGGGACUUAGCCCAUUAUUUAUGUACUGAGGAACGAGCCCUUAUUCUAUAAAAAGGACUCCCUCAAUUUCAUUAGAGAGCACCUAUUAUUCAUGUACUGAGGAGUGAGCCUUUAUUUUAUAAAAGAGACUCCUUCACCUUCAUUAGAGAGCAUCACCACCAGCUAAGCAACCGCCUCGCCGCGAGCAUCACUCCUAACUCAUCACUUAUGUAUUGAGGAGCGAACCCUUAUUCUAUAAAAUGGACUCCCUCACCAUCAUUAGAGAGCAUCGUCGCCAGCUGAGCAACUGCCUCGCCGCGAGCAUCAACUCUAGCCCAUCAUUUAUGUUUUGAGGAGCAAGCCCUUAUUCUAUAAAAGGGACUCCCUCACCUUCAACGCCAUAAGCCGAGCCAACCAAGGCAACAUAAGCCACAAGCCGAGCAGCCUCGCAACAUGUGCUACUUCUAGUUGAGCAUCAUUUCAGAUUAAGCACCGCCUCAUAUCGAGUAUCAGUCCUAGAUGACGUCCAGUUACUUCGCCCACACAUGGACUGAGUUUUAAGUCUCCAGCCAAAAGACUCUAUUGACUGAAUACUUGGGGGACUACUGUUUAUACCAUACUUAGGGCCUCCGUAUUUAGAUCUCGUAUAAAUACUAGGGGGACUCAAAUGUAAUUAUGUAAUAAAUGAAGGGGCAAAUAUGUAAUAAGUGAGGAGCCCUUAUUCUAUAAAAGGACCCCUCACUCUCCUCAUGAAGGGAGGCCAAAUCUUAGGCCAUACCCUCACCAUCUCAGAGCUCUCAUCCUCACAAAAAAGCUCUCUCUCUCCCUCUUCAACAUCUCGGAGAAAUACAAUAAUCAGUGUGGACGUAGCCCAAACAUUGUGGUGAACCAUGAUACAUCUUGUGUUAUUUACAUUUCUUGCAGAUUCAUGGUCGAAUUUACGUUGUCCCAAGACCUUCGGUUUUGUGCAUCAACAUAUUUGAUGGAUGAAAUAGAAACCUUGAUUAUCAUGUGGGUUGUUAUGUAGCUUGAAUUGAAUAAUUCAUGCUUGUCAAGUCCAACUGUUUGAUUGAGGAAUGUUAUGCCUUUUGGCUUGAGUGAAUAGUGUUAUAUGUCGAGUUAUAAAGACGUUGAACUACGAAUGGCUUGAUCCCUAUUGAGGGUACAUAGGCAAUCUAACGAAGAGGUUAGAUGCAGCCAUAAUGUAUACGCAAAAUUAUUAUGCAUCUAGAUCUUGAAUUAUAUUUUGUACAUAUCCAAAAAGGCGGGAUACGUUGAGUUACGAGCAUUUAGUGACGUCACGUGUCGAUCUGAGAUGUAUGUCGGGAUUGGGGCGUGACAAUUUAUCCCAGCCAUCUUUUUCCAGAUUCUGACGGUUGUAGCGGCAACCAGCUGAGAAGAAGAAAAAAAAGAAAAAAAAGGAAAAAAAAAAAAAGGAAGCCUAGAUCCGCGACCCGGAUCUAGCCCAACCUGAUUCUAAAAUGCAUAUGGAAUAUUCUUAGUGUUGACCUUUAAGAAAUUUUCUCGGAAAUCCUCCUAGGCUAAUUUCGACGUCUAGAGUCCAUUUUUGACUUCCAUUUAGGAAAAUUUUGAAGUUUUAACAUAGUUGACCACCGGGCCGUCUUUGUUGACUUUUUAAGUUUGAUCGUUCACUUUUCGUUGACUUUUUACAAAAUUUGCCUGGGACCCCUCUUAGCGUAUUUCGACGCUCUGAUUACUAUCGGAGACUCAGACUUUCUUAGCUUGAAAUGAUGUGACAUCGCAAGUACCUAUGAGUGGGUCUUUUCUUUUAUAUAGUACAUAUAUAUAUAUAUUUGUUAGUUUCCAUUUAUAUAUUUGGUAAAGAAUUUUCUACGUUACGCCUAGAUUAGGGUAACGUAUAUAAAAAUUAACGUAUUGAAGGAAUUCAUGCAAAUAUACUACGUCCUACGAGAUACACAUGUAUGCGUAUUAGUAUGGAUGCUUUAAUGGUAUUUACGGUUUUGAAUAGUAUUCCAUUGACUAGGGUUAUUGAAUUAUCGAUUUACCAUUGCAUGAUCAUAUUUGUGUUAUCUGCUCAUCGUGUGUUGCACUGGUGUUAGUACUUGCCUAGGCUAGGGCCAGUCUUUCACAUGUAUGUUCAAUUCGCACUGUACGCUCACUUUGGAUCCAUUGUAGGUGCCAGUCCUGUCCUCGAUUGCAAUAGGCAAUUAGGACUCGUAUGUGACGUGCUUAGCACCCGUUUUCAUGUGAUUGUAGUACUAGAGCGUAAAUCAUUAUUACACCCAGUCCUAUUCAUGUCAGAAUACCUUUGCAUGAACUCGUGUGUCAACAUAUGUCGAUGAGCACUCGAUGUGAUAUGUUUAUUUCUGCAAGAUAUUGUGAUUACUAGAAGUUAUGUACCUAUUUACGAAUUUUGUGACGUAUUGAAUUCUUGAGAUAUUGCAAACUACUGUAAGUAUUUUCAUACUAUACGUAGUAUGUAUAUUUUGGAAACUAUACUUGCUUUACGGUGAGGGGUUAUAAUGUUUUCAAAAAGCUUUUUAUAAAACUUUAUUUUUAAGCCCACUCAUCCUUGUUUUUCGUCCCUCCAGGAUUUAGUGGCAAUGUUCGUGUCGACGAGGAUUUCUGGCAAACGUUGAUAUCGGAGACUACUUCCGAUGGUAUAAUUCUCAAUCUACUAUACUGUACUUUACUUAUGCUCUUAUAUCACGUGUGAAAUGAGUUCAUUCACGCUCACUAGCGCACUCUUAUACUUAGGCACUUCUAGAUUUAAAUUUACUCACAUUUUUCACAUCACUACUCAUUAAUGAAAUCUUUAUUUUCCUAAAAGAUUAUUGCCUCAUAUGAGAAAGUCCCUAUAAUAUAAACCCUAAAUUUGAAGUUUACAUAAUUUUAUGUGAUAAUUUCAUUGGAAGCUAAUUCUUUUAGUUAAUUUAACUUGAUUUUAUUGUAAAAUAUUUUUUGUGUAAUAUUAUUACCCAAAAAGGUUCAAAAUUCUCAAAGCCAAAUUUUAUUCCAAUGGAGUUUUAAUGAAAAGUCCGCGGUACUGUUCACUUUAACGAAAAACCACAUUUUUACACUAAAAAUUCAAACUUAGUACUAUUCAUUUUACCUUUUAUUUUGUCCUUAUCAUUAAAACUCAAAGUUUUCGAGCCAUUUUCAUUAGUUUUCCUUUUAUUUGGGAGUUUUAACGAAAAGUCCGCGGACCCGGCUUUGCAACCCGGACCCAGCUUCUCUGCUCUCCCAGUUUCCAUACACUCUCAUCCCCUCCUAUUUUGUGCGAUCACGAUUAAGCACGUUAACAUUUUAUAUUGAUUUUUUUAUAGACAUAAUAAGACAAAAAACGAUAGUGAUAUAAAAUAUUGACGUGACUUAACAUUUGACAAAAAUUGAAGAUAAUUUUGUUUUUUUGACUAAAUGAUCAAAAUAAUUGGUGGCGAAUAAAAUCAGAAAUCUCACUUUGAAGAAACGAAACUUCCGACGUGGUGGGCUGCGACUUUUGACUGAUUGAGAGUCCUCCAUCCGCAGCUCCUCCGUCUUCCUCCCAAGCCUUUUACCUUUUCUUUCUUUCUUCUCCAAAACUAGCAAUCUGAGAUUUGAACCUCUCUCUCUAAGAAGCAGCGGCAUGCUUUUCCAAACGUAAUCUGCAAUUUAAUCAAACAGCCACCGAAUUUUCUGGAAUCCUGUCAACGCAGAGAUGCUUCGGAUUUUGAUCGGUCAACGCCAGCUGCUUACCUGAGCUCCAAAAGAUCCAACAGUGAUGACGUCCUCCACCUCUGUUUCUGUUUGGCUGAUUCUGCUGUUUGGCUUCUUUCACCUCUACAAGCUUGCUGCCAAUGUCGUCUCUGUGUGUUAUUGAAUUUGGGAGUGUUUGGUUGUGGGAACCGGAAUGAACUAAUGAAUGAAUGAAUGAAUGACUGAAUGACUGGAAACAUUCCCGAAGAGCUUGGGGGUUUGUCAGACUUGGUGAGCUCGGAUCUUUACUUGGCAACCUUGCAAAACUGCGUUUCCUAUAUGAACCCGCAUCCUUUUGUUAGAUAAAAUCUAUCGUCUUUCUUUUUUAUUCGAUAUGCUAAUCUGCUGUUUUUAAUUGUUCCAUUGGAGUGACUUUCUUCCUUAAAGUCCUUGUGCCGGAUGCAUAUAAUUUAUAGUAUGAUCCCUGGUUUCAAGAUUCACAAGAAGGGAACAUCCAGUCAUUGCAAGUCCUGUGAAUUUCAUACACUUUCAUCUCAGUAAGAGGGAGGAGAGAGUGAAAAGUUACUAAUUUCUCUACCAUCGGAGAAUGCAAAUAACAUAUAGUUUUGCCAUGGAAUGCAGGGAUCUUUCAAAUAACAAUCUGACAGGGAAUAUUCCAGUUAAUGGAUUCUUUUCACUUUUUACUCCCAUCAGGUUUGUUGAAGCAACUUUACUCUUUUUCUUUAACUUUAGGGACAAAAAUAACAAUCUGACAGGGGAUACACUUUCAUCUCAGUAAGAGGGAGGAGAGGGUAAUAUAGCUUGAUCAAGUUGGUGUUGUAGUUGUUGUAUGGGAUGCAGCUCAAAAACUUUUCUUUGCGCGACCUACAAGUUGCAACGGAUACCUAUAGCGACAAAAAUAUUAUUGGUAGAGGUGGAUUUGGUAAGGUUUAUAGAGGACGCUUAGCUGAUGGAACUCUGGUUGCUGUAAAAAGACUUACACAGGAGAGAACCCAAGACGGGGAACUACAGUUCCAAACAGAAGUUGAAAUGAUUAGAAUGGCUGUCCACCACCGCAAUCUGCUUUGUCUGCAUGGUUUUUGCAUGACACCAACAGAAAGGCUGCUUGUAUAUCCUUAUAUGGCUAAUGGAAGUGUGGCAUCUUGUUUAAGAGGUACUCAUCUAAAUUGUUUGCUGCGUUGAUGAAUCUUUUUGUUUUCACGACGUUAAAUUUUUUUUCGAUCACAUUGAUAUAAUGAAUUUAAAAACCUGACCAAUUUGGCUUGGAGUAUCAGCACUAAUUUUUUUAAUGUUUUUUUUCCUUCAAUUUUAAGUUACCUUCUCGAUGCUGAUUUUAUUUCUGUUUAAUUUGAAAAGGAUGACAAGAAGACCCUUUUUUUGGGUAGGACGGGUGGUAUGAUAUGUGUUAGACCACAUUACCUAUUGCUUGUAAUUUGAAAUUCUCCUCUCAUAAGUAUGUGGAUAUAUUAUUGUAGGUCGUCCGGAAGGACAACCUGCACUUGAUUGGCCAAUAAGACAACGCAUUGCAUUGGGAUCUGCAAGAGGCCUUGCUUAUUUACAUGAUCACUGUGAUCCAAAAAUUAUUCACCGUGAUGUGAAAGCAGCAAACAUAUUGUUGGAUGAGGAAUUCGAAGCAGUUGUUGGAGACUUUGGGUUGGCUAAACUCAUGGACUACAAGGAUACAUAUGUUACCACACAUGUAUGUAGCACAUUUGGUCAUAUGGCACCGGAGCACUUUUCAACUGGAGUGUCUUCCGAGAAAACUGAUGUUUUUGGAUACGGAGUCAUGCUUCUUGAACUCAUCACUGGGCAGAGGGCUUUCAAUCCUCAGCUUGCGAGUGAUGAUGAUGUCAUGUUAGUUGAUUGGGUAUGCAUUUACGUCUUUCUGUUUGUGUAUGUAGCUAGUUUAUUGUUAUAUGAUUAUUUCCCAACAACAUUUGCAUUUCCUUAGUAAUUAGCUUUUAGAAAAUAAGUUUGGUUUAAUUAGCUUUUAUUAGUUAGAGUUAUGAUUAGCUGUGUAGAUUUUUUUAUCUUUAUUUAUAACAAUCCAAGGUUUAAACUGUCAGAGAUUAAUUAUUGCAUUUCCUUAGUAAUUGUUACUAUUGUUGUUGCUUCUUUUGCCAAUGUAUUGGCAUUUUGUGAUUUCUUGAAGAAUUUGGCAUAUGUUUUGUGUCGAUCCUAAUUUCCUCAUCAUCUCCUUAUUCUUGCUAUCUUGGCCUCUCGCUUUUUCCUAUUCUCUCUAUUGCAUCUUUGUCUUCUCUUUGCAUGAUAUCAAUAUUUGAAUGACGAUACAUUUUUGUAAGCAGUUUGAUUUUCUGUAGAAAAAAGUUUGAACAUUACAACACAUUUUUGUUCUCCUAGAUUCCCGCACCUUUUGUUUCAAAUUGUCGAACCACCCGACAAUUUCUGUUUUAUUUUUCCUAAAAAAAUUAGGUCAAAUGACUACUGAAAGAUCGGAGGUUGGAAAGACUUGUUGAUGCUGAUCUAAAUGGAAAUUAUAUUGACGAUCAAGUGGAGCAGCUGAUCCAAGUAGCUCUACUGUGCACACAAGGCUCCCCAGGGGAACGGCCCAAGAUGUCAGAGGUUGUCCAAAUGCUUGAAGGCGAAGGCGAAGGUUUGGCUGAAAGAUGGGAGGAGUGGCAAAACAAGGAGAUGAUCCGCCAAGAUUUCAACACUAUUCAUCAUCCAAGUACUUGGAUCAUAGACUCACCUUCUCCUAAUUUUGUGUUGUACUAUUUCUGUGAGUUUGAAGAAAUGGAUAAAAAGAAAGGAAAACCAAUGAAAAAGGCUUGAAAACUUUGAGUUUUAAUGAUAAGGACAAAAUAAAGGGUAAAGUGAAUAGUACCAGGAUUGACUUUUUAGUGUAAAAAUGUGGUUUUUCAUUAAAGUGAACAGUACCGGAUGCUUUUCGUUAAAGUUCCCUAAAAAGAAUGACAUGUGAUAGAGAGUUCAUCAUAUAGCUUCUGACUUUAAGGAUUUUUCAUUUAGUUCUAGUUCAUGUUGCGCAAAAAAUAUUAGGUAACACUGCUACUGGGGCUAUUGCAGGAGGGGUUGCUGUUGGUGCUGCUUUACCGUUUGCUGCACCUGCAAUUACACUUGCUUAUUGGCGACGGAGAAAACCACAGGAUCAUUUCUUUGAUGUACCUGGUUAGUGAACUAUAGGAGUAAUAUAGCUUGAUAAAGGUGGUGUUGUAGUAUGGGAUGGAGGUUUCACUAAUCUACUGUCUUUGCAGCUGAGGAGGAUCCAGAAGUUCUUUUAGGACAGCUCAAAAGGUUUUCUUUGCGCGAACUACAAGUUGCAACGGAUACCUUUAGUAACAAAAAUAUUCUUGGUAGAGGUGGAUUUGGUAAGGUUUAUAAAGGACGCUUAGCUGAUGGAACUCUGGUUGCUGUAAAAAGACUUAAAGAGGAGAGAACCCAACGUGGGGAGCUACAGUUUCAAACAGAGGUUGAAAUGAUUAGCAUGGCUGUCCACCGCAAUCUGCUUCGUCUGCGUGGUUUUUGCAUUACACGAACAGAAAGGCUGCUUGUAUAUCCUUAUAUGGCUAAUGGAAGUUUGGCAUCAUGUUUACGAGGUACUCUUCUAAAUUGUUUGCUGCGUUGAUAAAUCUUCUUGUUUUCACGAAAUUAAAAAAUGGGUAAAUUACAUUUUACACCCUCAGGUUUGAGUGUAAUUGUAACCUCAUACAAUAUUUUUAAAACAUUUCAAUUUUAUACAUUUCCUUAUCAUUUCUAGCAAUUUCAUACAUCUGUUAGUCAAACCGUGAGUUUGACUGUUAAGGAAUGACAUGGCAAAUGUGAGGUCCACAUUUUUAUUGACGGGGAUGCCAACUAUGAUUCACGUGGAAUAAAAACAAAUAAAAAAGAUUAAUAAAUAGAAAAUUAAAUUUUUUUAUAAUUAAAAACUAAAAAAAUAGAAAAGAUAAAAAAAAUGGUGUUGUUCAUCCCUUUCCUGCUCUCACCCCGUCCCCGCAUUCUUCAUUUCCCCCCGCCCACCAUCGCCACCUUCCCUUUCCUCAGCCACUGCAAUGAAUAGACCACAUUACCUGUUGCUUGUAAUUUGAAAUUCUCCUCUCAUAAGUAUGUGGAUAUAUUAUUGUAGAUCGUCCAGAAGGACAACCUGCACUUGAUUGGCGAAUAAGACAACGCAUUGCAUUGGAAUCUGCAAGAGGCCUUGCUUAUUUACAUGAUCACUGUGAUCCAAAAAUUAUUCACCGUGAUGUGAAAGCAGCAAACAUAUUGUUGGAUGAGGAAUUCAAAGCAGUUGUUGGAGACUUUGGGUUGGCUAUACUCAUGGACUACAGGGAUACACAUGUUACCACAGCUGUACGUGGCACAAUUGGUCAUAUAGCACCAGAGUACCUUUCAACUGGAAAAUGUUCCGAGAAAACUGAUGCUUUUGCAUACGGAGUCAUGCUUCUUGAACUCAUCACUGGGCAGAGGGCUUUUGAUCUUGCUCGGCUUGCGAAUGAUUAUGAUGUCAUGUUACUUGAUUGGGUAUGCUUUUACGUCUUUCUGUUUCUGUUUGUUGCUAAUUUAUUGUUAUAUGCAAGAUUAUUUUCCAACAAUAUUUGAAUGAGGUCCACCUUUGAGAGUUUUAACGAAAAGUCCACGGUACUGUUCACUUUAACGAAAAAUCAUAUUUUUACAUUAAAAAGUUAAUCCUGAUACUAUUCACUUUACUCUUUAUUUUGUCUUUAUCGUUAAAACUCAAAGUUUUGAAGCCUUUUUCAUUAGUUUUCCUUAAUAUCUUUCAUAUUUUAUAAAAUAAAAAAAAAGACAUAAUGUUGUUGAAAUUCAACGAUAUUCUUGCUUCGAUCUAUUGUUUCCCUAAGUCCAAAUCUUGGAAAUUAUGUUUCAAUACUCAUUUUAAAGAAAUGUUAUAUAAUAUACUGUAAAUUAGGUGUAUCUCUCGAUACCAAUGUUGCUAUUUAUUUAAGCCAAAAAUAAUGGGUCUCGACACCUAAUCACUUUAUUUCAAACCGCUAAUCUCAUAUGACAUUCUUAAUCAUUGUAUAUGGAACAUUUCUGCAAUCAUUUUAGUUGGUUCUUUGCAAUACUUUAAAAACCUAUUACUCAUCAUAGAGCUGCCAAGUUCCUGUCUAAUUAAUGUAAAAAUCACUUAGUCUUUUUUGGCCCGAAUAUUGAAAACAAUUAGAAUCAUGGAUCAAAGAAAAGAAAUAAUACUUAACUUUUAGAAAAUAACUUUAGUUUAAUUAGCUUUUAUUAGUUAGACUUACGAUUAAGCUGUGAAGAUUUAUUUAUCUUUAUUUACAACAAUCUAAGAUUUAAAUUGUCAGAGAUUAAUUAUUACAUUUCCUUGGUAAUUGUUGUUAGUAUUGUUGUUGCUUCUUUUGCCAAUGUAUUGGCCUUGCUGUGAUUUCUUGAAGAAUUUGGCAUGUGUUUUGUAUCGAUCCUAAUUUCCUCAUUAUCUCUUUAUUCUCGCUAUCUUGGCUCUUUCUUCUUUUUAUUCUCUGUUUGCAUCUUUGUCAUAUGUUCGCAUCACAUCAAUAUUUGAAUGACGAUGCAUUUUUGUAAGCAAUUUGAUUUUCUGGAGAUACUGCGGCCCUUCAAAUUUUGAACAUUACAACACAUUUUCACUCUCCUAGGUGCCCUCACCUUUUGUUUCAAAUUGUAGAACUAUCUGAUUUUGUUCCUUUUUAUUUUAACUAAAAUAAUUAGGUCAAAGGACUACUGAAAGAUCGGAGGUUGGAAACACUUGUUGAUGCUGAUCUAAAUGGAAAUUAUGUUUACGAUCAAGUGGAGCAGCUCAUCCAAGUAGCUCUACUAUGCACACAAGGCACCCCAGGGGAACGACCCAAGAUGUUAGAGGUUGUCUGGAUGAUGGAAGGGCGAUGGUUUGGCUGGGAGGAGUGGCAAAAAGAGGAGGUGUUCCACCAAGAUUUCAACCCUAUUCAUCAUCCAAGUACUAAUUGGAUCACAGACUCAACUUCUCAUAUUCCUCUGGAUGAGUUGUCUGGUCCCAGAUGAUAUGCUCGUUGGUUCUGUCCCCUGUAUACAUGUAAGAAGCCUCAGAGGACUGUAGAAGGUCCAUUUUGUAUUUCAGUGAUACAACAUUUGUGCAUAUGUUUUGUCUUUGUUUUCGAUUUUGUUUUUGUCUCUCGUAUUUUUUAGAUCACAAAAAUGGAGCUGGUGCUGUUGUAAUUUUUAUAGGGUUAACUGGCAUUACGAAGUUAUAUGGUGCUAGCAGGAAUUAGGAAGGGCCAUAAAAGCACCCAUUCCUGAUGAUUUAUGUAUCUAUCCAGAAAUUAGUUCAGAUUGUCGAGUAAAUAAUCAUUCUGAAGUUAUAACUAUAUAUAUUUUUUAGUGUUCCAAUAGAUCCUAUAGAUACGAUAAGGACACUAGGUCAAGUGCGUUCCUAUAGAUCCUUUAGAUACGAUAAGGACACUAGGUCAAGUGCACGGCUGCUUGUGGACGGAUAGUGUUUGAAAUUUCAUCGUGAUCAUUGCAAGUGUGACUUUGUGGCACUACCCUUAUAAGUACUUGAACUAAGGCAUUAGGGAUCAAGAGAUCACUUUGUGUCAUUCCAAAACAGGAAUUUGAGCUCUGUCUAUCCUCUUUAAAGUAUCGUCAAUGGGGAUCCCUCUACUAUCUUUGAGGAUUUAUUUAAGACCAACUGUAGGGUAAGACCCAAACCUAAAUUUCUAAGUUUAAACAAAAUAAAAAUGCAAUCUAAUUGUGGGAUUUUUUUGUUUUUUUUGAACAAAAUAUAUUAUCUAGAUUAGGUUAAGCUUUACAGUGGGCUAGUAAUAAUAUGGUUCAAAUUUGUCUUUGGCGAAAAUCGAACCUAAAGACCUCUAUUAUAUGUGAAGAGAAAUAUCAGUAAACUGUAGUACUAGAUAGUAUCUAAUGGUUGGACUUAAAGCUAAAAAGUUUGGCUUUUACCCAAGCUAAACCCAAAUUUGGGUUUUGUAUUUGGCAGACCCAAAUUUUUGGGGGCCCUACCUUUUUUUUUCUGAAAAGCAACGGGCGAAUGAUGUAUUGAAGUGGCCGACAGAUGGGUCCCUCACCUAGCAGAGUCCCAGCUGCAAAACAGUAACAGUUUAAGCAACUACGAGCCAUUCGAUUUGUGGGCCAUUGGUGAUCAACGGUCUAGGUUAAAAUCCUUUCAUGCUUUGCAAUCUUUAAAUUUUGAUCUAAUUGUUCAUAUAUAUAUUUUUUCAAAUCUAACGGUAAAAUAAAUCCAACUACUGAAAUUUAAAUUCAACGUCAAAAAUUAUUUUAUUUAGAACAUAUCCAUUAUACAUUUGGAUGGUUGGUGUGGUUUGUUCGGUUUUGAAUUUUUUGUUGAAAUUUAAUUUUUUUAAUGUCAAAACACUUGUCAAAUUAAAUUAAAAUAAUAUAAUUCAAAAGUAAAAAAUUUAAAAAAAAAUCCUACCGAAAAAAAAUUAGGGUUAAAACUAUAUUCCACCACAAUUAGUACAUUUUAGGCCAUGAAAUUUAGAUCUUGAUGGUUGGGUGAUAUUCACUUCAUAGACUUAAAUUCUGUCUUUUGAUGGACUAAAUAUUUGGGUUUGGGUGUAAAGGUUGGAGCUGGUCUAAGGACUUUAAUGAAAUCUUAUAUUUCUAAACGAGUUGCCUCAUAUGAGAAAGUCCUUAUAGUAUAAAUCUUAAAUUUGAAGUUUACAUAAUUUUAUGUGAUACUUUCAUUGGAAGCUAAUUCUUUUAGUUAAUUUAACUUGAUUUUAUUGUAAAAUAUUUUUUUGUGAACAUUAUUACCCAAAAAAGUUCAAAAUUCUCGAAGCCAAAUUUUAUUCUUUAGAACUACAAUAGCUUUCAUUAUUGGCUAUGUCAUGGUCUAUUAUUUCUGAUCAGAAUCAGACCUGGACUCUUUGCAACGCUUGGUCAACUAAAUGAAUUAUUAAUUAAAAGUAGCUUGAUAAUCAUUUUGUUUUCAAUUUUUAAUUUUUAGCUUAUACUUUUCUAUUAUGAAAUUAAUCAAAAUGGUUCAUGAAAUUGGCAUAAUUAAUCAUUUCGGUUCCUGAGAUUUGAAAUUGCUAGAAGUGAUCCCUGAGUUUGUUAACUAUCAAUUAUUUUGAUCAUUCGAUUAAAAAUCUCUAUUGAAUAAGAAGCAUGUUUAUACCAUAUUUAGGGCCUCGUAUUUAGACCUCGUAUAAAUACUCGGGGGACUUAAAUGUAAUUAUGUGAUAAAGGAAGGGGCAAAUAUGUAAUAAGUGAGGAGUCCUUAUUCUAUAAAAGGACCCCUCACCCUCACAAUUAGAAAAAGGCCUCACUCUCACUCUCGAAAAAGCCAAAUUCUUAGGCCCUCUCACCCUCUCUCAACGCUCUCACUCUCAGAGCUCUCUCUCCUUCAAAUAAAUACAAUCAGUGUGGACGUAGCACAAACCUUGGGGUGAACCACGAUACAUCUUGUGUUAUUUACAUUUCAUGCAGAUUCACGGUCGGAUUUACGUUGUUCCAAGACCUCCGGUUUUGUGCAUCAACAUUUGGCGCCGUCUGUGGGAAACGACACGAAAAGUUAUGUCGGUUCUCUCUCAAUUUUUCAUCUCCGCCGUGAAUCUGCAGAAAUCCAAGAACCCAAAAACCUCACUUUUUGGGUUUCUCCAGAAAACUUUCGCAGACCUCCAACCACCUCUGCCUCCUCUCUCAGUCAGUCAACACGGAAACCAAAGAUUUCAGCUGCAAAUUCACCUGCUUUUGCAGCCCAUCCACGCCACCAUGUCCUCAUAUUUCCACCGAGUUCCAAAGUGCUCACCAGAAAAAAUGAUGGCUUCCAUGUCUUUCUCUACAACUUUUUCAACACCUUUACAGAUUUUUCUCAAGCAAAAACAAAAAUAAGCACGAAUUCUUUAGCUUUAUGCCCUCCCAUGGCGUGUUGGAUCAAAUCCUCACUUGGGUCUCCUAAUCGGCAUUUUUUCGAAAUGGGUGGUCUUUCCAAUCGGAGAAUUUUAAUGGGUUUCUGAUCAAAUCUUGGUCUUUGGUUGUCUAUGCUAAAGCAGCUACAACAACAUCUCUAUAUAUCUCUCAUGUCCCUCAUCUCUAUCUUGUCCCUCAUCGCUCAGCCUGACACAUCAAUCAACACACCCAACUGAAAGAGGGAUAGUUUCGUGAUUACCCUGAUUCCGCCAUGGGCAUUCCCUGCGACGACAUCGUCGUUAUCAAGCCGAGGAAGGCUCCUGAUGAGCCAUCCGUCCUCACCGUCAACUGUCCCAACAAGGCCGGCCUUAGCUGCGAUUAGGAGAGGUUAAAGGAUCAGCUCUCGUCCGCGUGCCCGUCGUCGUGCUUCUUCUCAUUUUAUCUCAAUCAAAUCUCCAACGUCCCAACGCCUUCUUCGGUCUAUCUGUUGAAGUUUUGGUGCCACGACCAGAGAGGCUCACUCCACGAUGUUUGAGCCAUUGUGCGAUUUGGGCAAGAAUUUAUGGGAUCUCGCGGUGGCCCAGAUGGUUUAUGAUGAUGUUGUUGGGGUUGGAGUGGUCGAGGAGAUCAAAAAUCAAUGGCUUUUCUCAGUUUUCAGCAUCUGUCAAUUUGGCGGAGGAACGAAAGAUGCCAAAAUUAACUGCUGAGAGUACCUGGGAUUUUGAGAUGUGAUUCAUUAUUGUAUCUGAUAAACAACUUAGAAUUGUCUCUGCCACGUGUUCCACACCGAGUGCAUUGACAGGGGGCUGGAGUAUAAUGAUCAUCAUCAUCACCAUCACGACGAGGACAAUCACAAAACUUGCCCGCUCUGCAGGACUCCAUUAUUGAUGUCAUUGUAGAAGCGGAGCCUGAGUUGGGACCUUGCAGGCUUAAAAGGGACGGUCAAAUAAGAGGCUUAUUUCACUGAACAAAGUUAAACAGCAUGAAAAAGGAGAUUCAAUGUGCGGAGAUCCAGUAUGGAACUGGUGCAAUUUCAGGUUUCUUCCACCAGGACCAUGUCCAAGUCGGUGAUCUUGUUGUUAAGGAUCAGGACUUUAUUGAGGCAACCAAAGAGCCUGGAGUCACGUUUGUGGCAGCUAAGUUUGAUGGUAUUCUUGGACUUGGAUUUCAACAUAUCUCAGUUGGAGAUGCUGUUCCUGUCUGGUAUAAUUUGGUCAAUCAAGGUCUUGUUAAAUAACCAGUUUUCUCAUUUUGGUUAAAUCGCAAUACAGAAGGGGAAGAAUGGGGUGAGAUUGUCUUUGGUGGGGUUGAUUCUAGUCAUUUCAAGGGUGAGCAUACAUAUGUUCCCGUGACUCAGAAAGGCUACUGGCAGUUUGAUAUGGGUGAUGUCUUAAUUGAUGGUGAAUCAUCUGGAUUUUGUGCUAAUGGCUAUUCAGCAAUUGCUGACUCAUGCACCUCCCUAUUGGCUGGACCAACGGAAGUAUGGAGAGGUGGUGGAGGCUGUGAUCAUGAGGGAUCGUGCAAAAGGGGAGAUAAGAUUAAUGUACUUAUCAUUCCUUGUCUGCCAUCUACAAAAGAGAAAAGAAGACAGAAACAAAAGCAAAAGUAAAGCAGAAAAGGAAAAGAGAAAAGAAGAAGAGAGGAACAUGGAGACAUUUCAAAAGCAAGGAAUAAACACCCCACCAGAAUGAUGUAUUUUUUUUAUCUUUCGGAAAUAUCUGUAUAAACCCCAUCAGAGGGUAACUAAAAAAAAAUAGCAAAGCCCAAAACAAAUGGGCUGCCAUGUUGUGGAGGGCGAAGGCUCAUAAGCCCGAAAUAGCACCAACCAGGUGAUCAAAAGUACGCCUAGUACUCCACAAUUAUUCGGCAACCCACCGCUAUUACCACCAACCAGGUGAUCAAAAGUACGCCCAGUACUCCAAAAUUAUUCGGCAACCUGCCGCUAUUACCACCAACCAGGUGAUCAAAAGUAUGCCCAGUACUCUAAAAUUAUUCGGUAACCCGCCGCUAUUACCACCAACCAGGUGAUGAAGUGUACAACCCGUACUCUAAAUAUCAUUUGGCAACUAGCCAUUCAUGCCACCAACCAGGUGAUGAAAUGUAAACCCGUACUCUAAUAUCAUUUGGCAACUAGCCAUUCAUGCCACCAACCAGGUGAUGAAAUGUACAACCCGUACUCUCCUUCAUGCCACCAACUAGGUAAACAAAAGUACGCCCAAUACUUCAAAUUAUACAUGAGCAUUACUCAUGUCAAUCAUACAUAAACAUUCAUGAGCAUCACUCAUAUCAAUCAUACAUAAACAUUCAUGAGCAUCACUCAUGUCAACAUUCAUAAGCAUCACUCAUGUCAACAUCCAUGAGCAUCACUCAUGUCAAUCAAACAUUCAUGAGCAUCACUCAUGUCAAUUAAACACUCAUGAGCAUCACUCAUGUCAAUCAGCUUCAAAAGCUUCAUUUACAAAAGCUCUAGCUUCAAAAGCUUCAUUUACAGAGCUCCAGCUUCAAAGCUUCACUUGCAAAGCUUCAUUUACAAAGCUUCAGUGCAGGAUAUACAAAUACCACCUCCGAACAACCGCCACUUCGGCCCAUACAUGGAUUCAAUUUGAAGUCUCUAGCUAACAGACUCUAUUGACUGAAGACUUGAGGGACUACACUAUACACCAUAUAUUGGGCCUCAACUAGGCCUCAUGAAAAAUACUUGGGGGACUCUAGCCCAUUAUUUAUGUAUUGAGGAGCGAGCCCUUAUUUUAUAAAAGGGAUUCCCUCACCAUCAUUAGAGCAGCAUCAACUAUAGCCCAUUAUUCAUGUAUUGAGGAGCGAGCCCUUAUUUUAUAAAAGGGACUCCUUCACCAUCAUUAGAGAGCAACGCCGCCAGCUGAGCAACCGUCUCGCCGCGAGCAUCAACUCUAGCCCAUCAUUUAUGUAUCGAGGGAACGAGCCCUUAUUCUAUAAAAGGGACUCCUCACCAUCAUUAGAGAGCAUCAACUCUAGCCUAUCAUUCAUGUAUUAAGGAGCGAGCCCUUAUUCUAUAAAAGGGACUCCCUUAUCUUCAAACGCCGCAAGCCGAGCCAACCAAGGCGCCAUAAGCCACGAGCUGAGCAGCAUCGCAGCAUGUGCUACUUCUAAUUGAGCGUCAUUUCAGAUUGAGCACCGCCUCAUAUCAAACAUCAGUUCAAGAUAACAUCUAGUUACUUCGGCCCACACAUGGACUGAAUUUCAAGUCUCCAGCCAAAAGACUCUCUUGACUGAAGACUUAGGGGACUACUGUUUAUACCAUAUUUAGGGCCUCGUAUUUAGACCUCGUAUAAAUACUCGGGGGACUUAAAUGUAAUUAUGUGAUAAAGGAAUGGACAAAUAUGUAAUAAGUGAGGAGUCCUUAUUCUAUAAAAGGACCCCUCACCCUCACAAUUAGAAAAAGGCCUCACUCUCACUCUCAAAAAAGCCAAAUUCUUAGGCCCUCUCACCCUCUCUCAACGCUCUCACUCUCAGAGCUCUCUCUCCUUCAAAUAAAUACAAUCAGUGUGGACGUAGCCCAAACCUUGGGGUGAACCACGAUACAUCUUGUGUUAUUUACAUUUCAUGCAGAUUCACGGUCGGAUUUACGUUGUUCCAAAACCUCCGGUUUUGUGCAUCAACAAAGCAAAUGACAAAAAUAACCUCAAUUCAAUAAAUAAUGGACCGUAAUAAUUUGACAAAAAUUGAAGAUAAUUUUUUUUUUUUUUUACGAAAUGAUCAUGUUGAAUAAAAUCAGAAAUCUCAAAACAAAGUGAGGAAUUGCAUAACAAUUUCAGAUAUCAGCUAAAAAGUAAAAAAUAAAUAUAAACAAAAGAAGAAACGAAACUUCCGACGCUGUGGGCUGCGACUUUGACUGAUUGAGAGUCCUCCAUCCGCAGCUCCUUCGUCUUCCUCCCAAACCUUUUACCUUUCUUCUUUCUUCUCCAAAACUAGCAAGCUGAGAUUUCAACCUCUCUCUCUCUAAGAAGCAGCGGCAUGCUUUUCCAAACUCAAUCUGCAAUUUAAUCAAACAGCCACCGAAUUUUCUCUAAUCCGGUCAACGCAGAGAUGCUUCGGAUUUUGAUCGGUCAACGCCAGCUGCUCACCUGAGCACCAACGGGCCCAACAGUGAUGACGUCCUCCGCCCCUGUUUCUGUUUGGCUGAUUCUGCUGUUUGGAACCUCCAUAAGCUCGCUGCCAACAUAGAAGGUAUGUCUGUGUCUCUGUGUUUUUGAAUUUGGGUGUGUUUGGUUGCGGGAAUUGGAAUGAACUAACGAAUGAAUGAAUGAAUGAUUGGAUUUGACAGGUGACGCAUUGAACGCGUUGAAGACCAAUCUAGCUGAUCCAAACAAUGUUCUGCAGAGUUGGGAUCCGGCUCUCUACAAUCCCUGCACCUGGCUUCAUGUCACUUGUAAUAGCAAAAACAGGGUUACUGUGGUGUAAGCAAACCCAACAAACACCUCCUUUUCAAUUCAGUUCAAUUCAAUUCGAUUCGAUUCAGUUCAGUUCAAUUCACUUGUAACAGCGGAAAUAGCAUUACGGGAAGUUUUUAACAUUUUUGCUCCACCCAGUGAUCUUGCCAAUGCCAAUCUCUCUGGUCAUCUGGUGGCACAGCUUGGUGUGCUUUCCAAGUUGCAGUACUUGUAAGCAUGUUUUUCGCUCUGAUUUUUUGUUCGGGUCUUAUCCAACUGUUCCAUCACUAUGCAUUCGAAUUGAAAUUGGUAUUGAUACAUGACUGAUGAAUUUCACAACUGCAUUUGACAUUAUUGAAACACACUUUCUUGACAGGGAACUUUCCAAUAAUAGCAUAACUGGAAACAUUCCCGAAGAGAUUGGGGGUUUGUCAGACUUGGUGAGCUUGGAUCUUUACUUGGCAACCUUGCAAAACUGCGUUUCCUGUAUGAACCCCCAUCCCUUUGUUAGAUAAAAUCUAUCGUCUUUCUUUUUUUAUUUGAUAUGCUAAUUAUGCUGUUCGGCUCAACCCAAUAUUGUGGUCAAGGCAUGUAGCUUGAGUUUUGACUUUUUCUAGGAGUGGGUCCUGAACAGUAAGGGGCCUUAACAUCGGAAUAUUUACAUAAAUAUACUAGCGAUAGAACCCGCGCGAUGUCGCGAGUUUUAAAACUUUGUUAAACGUAUGCAAAUAUAUUAAAAUCUAAUUAUAUCCAUAUCAAAGAAAUAUCUAUUUACAUCCUCAUAUUCAAUAAGGGAAAAAGAUAUAUAUAUAAAUGUAGGAUAUAUCACAUAUUAAAAUUUGUCUACAUCCAUACCAAAGUCUAUUUGCAUCCUUACGUGUAAUAAUGAACAAAAGAUAGGUAUUUGAAGAAUACAUUACAUAGAAAAAGUUGUGGAUUAAGUUGUUCAUACAAAUACAAUCAUAUAAAAAUAUAUUCAUUUUCCUUGUCCCAACUUUUCUACAUUCAGUACUUCACUCUUCUUUCUUCUUUGUUUUUCUGUAGAUGAGGAUGUACAUUUUUCCUCAAGUAAUCUGUUCAAGAUAAAUUCAUUGGUUAGGCUUCUGAAUCAUAUGAGCCUUUAAUUGGCUUAUAAAAAUGCUCAUUUUUCAUAUGAGAAGGACAACCAGUUUAGAGUUUCGAAAGAUAAAUAAAAAUUCCAAUUCUCACCAAGAAAAAAAGCCGAAGAAAUACAAUGGGUUUAGAUGAGAGACGAAGUCUUUACCAACUAACAAAUGAAGUAAAUCAUGUUGUUCAAUACUUGAGCUUCCAAUUUAGUACACUUACAUCUUCAAUCUCCAACAAAACAAAACAAAAAAAUUGAAAAAUCAUUUAGUAUAAUUGUCACAACAUGUUGAAGAUGCAUGUACCCAACCAAUUGCUUCACCGUUCACCUAUAUCCUCGGUGCUAUAAAUUCGAAUAAAAAACCAGUAAAUAAAAGUGGUUAAGCAAAAACCCUCACUUCUCAUUACAUGUUGAAAUUUCUUUAAGCUCUAAACCUACUCCCAUUGUGUUACUUUUGUAGUGCAUGUUGUGCCUUGGUCGUUCGUCAGUGCAGAAGUGAGAUUCAGAUUGUCUCACCAAACUACAGACCCACAGUUGAACAGUUUAAAUUACAAGAAAUAAAUACACUGAGAAAUUUACGAGGUUCGGCAAAAAUCUGCCUACGUCCUCCAAGAGAUAUUGCUCUUCACUAUGAGAAUAACUAGUACAAGAUACACUUGAGUUAAAUUAACAUAACCCAAACCCCAAUCCUUUGUACCCUCACAGAAUUUUACUAAGAGCCUCACUCUCUCCAAGAGUUUCUCACUCUCACUCUAUAUUUUCUCUCCUUUGUGUUCUCCUUCGGAUGCUCUCUCAAAUGCAUUUCUAAAUGCACAAAUAUUGCAUCUAGUUAUACGCAUACACUAGCAACUAUGCCAACAAACAAGACCCAAAAGUCUUAAGUUCACAUGACAUAAUUAUCACCUAGCCUACCUAGCAUGCAUCAAAGUCUAUACCUAGUCUAUAAAGUACAACUUUUCUCCAUUUGUCAUUUAAUACAUAUAAAAUAAAACAUGCACAAUAAAACAUGCACAAUUGUGUGCAAGCAACCAUAAAGUCAAGUCUUGCUUCCAACUUUGCUUGUGGUAGUCACCAUGUCUUCUCUUGAAACAAGACAUCCAUGCCAUAACCGAAAGCCAAACACAAAGUGGUUACUGCCAUUUCCCUGUAGCACUCAGAAAGUUACACUAUCAAAAUUGUUGCCAACUCAUAAGUAUAUGAGCCAAGCACAACAGUGCAUACACUACAAAAACCAAAAAGAAAAUGCUGCAAAGGGGAAAUUGGAAAAUCAUAUCACCAGCAAACAUUGCACGAAAGGCAUCUGAAGAAGCAAGCAGGCAAGUUCUGUGAGCAUACCAUCUACCUGCAAUUGGUCAGUAGAAAUUUAAAGAGGUACUUUAUGUUAACAAUACAAUCACACACGCUAAUUGAAUACUCUGUGAUUAAGAAAAAGAAGAGGAACUCACGCUGUGCUUCUUGAAAACUGGCGAGAGAACUGGAACUGGGUUGGAAGAAUGUACUGGAAGCAAAUGGAACACCCCAGCUUUUUCAGCCUCGUCAUGAAAUAAUAUUAACAAUUCGGUCAAGUAUAAAACCAUCUGCCAGUUAUGGUUUUUGUAAAUUAUGUAGAAGCCAAAUAUCUAAUAAAUAGUCUAACAAUAAUUAAGUAAUCUGGUUUAAGAUUAAUCAAAAAGCUUGGGAAUUUCAGCUGUUAAAUCACACCUCAGGCUGCAACUCGACAAAGUCUGCGAAAUCACAAUCCAAAAUGCGAUCUUCAGUCUUCCGGCCUCUGUUGCAAAAAUUAAUCCCACAGUCCCCAAAAAAUAAAAAACUUGAAGUUUGAUUUGAAAUUAAAAAUUCAUUCUUUGAAGAUAAAUUCCAAAAAUUUAAAAUUAUAUGCGAGAGAGAGACCUUGUUAAUAUUCGGAGUUAGAGUGAGGAGUUCUCGAAUUGGGAGCGGCGGGGUUUCGUUGCAAAUUUUCCGAAGAAAAUUUCCACGAAUGAAGGGUCAUCGCGAUUUUUUGGCUGGAGGAAAUGAGGUUUUAAGAUUUUUGGAAUUUUGAGUGAAUGGACAGUGUGGCUGGUUGCGAGACAGAGAAAGAGAAGUUGGGGUGUUUUCGUCCCCUUUAAUAUCUGUUGUUGUUGCGAUUAUUUGUGAUUUAAUUAGCACUUUCUUUUCCACGAAAUAGGCGCCCAUACAACAACAGCUUGUCAGGGCGUAUUCCCGUGACUCUGACUAACAUUCAAUCAUUGCAAGUCCUGUGAGUUUCGUACACUUUCAUCUCAGUAAGAGGGAGGAGAGGGAAGUUGCUAAUUUCUCCGCCAUCAGAGAAUGCAAAUAACAUAUAGUUUUGCCAUGGAAUGCAGGGAUCUUUCAAAUAACAAUCUGACAGGGGAUAUUCCAGUCAAUGGAUCUUUUUCACUUUUUACUCCCGUCAGGUUUGUUGAACCCACUUUACUUUUUUUUUCUUUACCUUUUUUCCUGCGGUGGCUGUCCCAGCGGACGAUCUAAAUGAUGUACUGACUGCUAUUAUUCAUUUUGUAGUUUUUCCAAUAAUCCUCGUCUGAAUCCACCUCCUCCCGUUUCUCCAACCCCACCAAGUUCUCCAGGUUUUUACAACUUAUACUGUUCUUGUGAUAUUAACUCAAAUUUAUUUUGAGAACAGUUGAAUAUCAGAGUACUAGACUACAAAAUAAGAAUAUUAUUACACAAAUAAGAAUGGCAAAACGGUUGCAAAAUUUAAAAACACUACAUUGUGACACACUUGUUCUAAAGAAAAUAACAUGCAUCCUAUUUAUAAUAAAUUAUAACCUUAAUCUCUAACAAAUCCUAAUUUUAACGGGCUGACCUCAAAUCCUAAACUUAUUACUUUCCAGCUGGCUCUGUUUUGUUUCACAGACACUUGUGAUAUCGACUCCAGUCCAUUGGUAGUUAAUGUUUUUUCUUGGUGUUUUUCUGUUAAAUUUUUUUCAUAGUACAACAUUAUUGUUGGAAUCACUGCUGUAAAGAUUCUAAGAAGAUGGUAGUUAGGAAAGGAAUGGAUUGAGGAUCCGAGAGGAUACUCCUAAAUUCCUAUGAGUUUGAAGAAAUGAAUUAAAACAAUGACAUGUGAGAGGGAGUUCAUCAUAUAACAUCCGACUUUUAAGGAUUUUUCAUCUCGUUCUGGUUCAUGUUGUGCAAAUAACCCUUCCCUUUUAACUCUGGUGGUUCAUAUUAGGUGCCGGAUUCGGUGAAAUAGUGUCCGGAUUCUGUAUCGGUACGGACGUACCAUUACUUUAGCGAUUCGGUGGUGAAUUCAGUGGUUCAUCUAAUCAUAUCUGAUAAUUUCUAAUCAGAUUACAGAAAAGAAAACGCACCUGUAAUUUUUGGAAAGAGAGGAGCGAAACAACUGGAAUUUUGGGAAGCUCGGUGCUUCUGGUUUUCAUCGGGCAGAGAGAAGACGAAGAGGGAGAGGAAGAGAGAAAAUAUUACUUUCACUUUUUGGAUUUAAUUCUUUUGAUUCGAACAAAAUUUGUUGAAUUGAGGUAGCAGAUCUCUUGCAAUCUACAACUCUCCAACAAAACAAUGACUGUGUAUUUCAAGUUUGUAAAUUUUCACCUUUUUUUUUAUUUUUCACCAGAUAAGUUAAUUUCUAGAUUUGUUCAAUUUGGACUGUUAGAGAGAUUUGUAAAGGGUGGAGAGAUCACGUGUUUGUACAAGUGGUGAGAUUCUUAUGUUAAAAAUUAUUAAUAACAUAAAAAAUAAAAUUUUCCACAAUUUAUAUAAUAACACGUGAUGUAUCACUUGUGUUACGAUCACAAGGAUAAAAUUUUCAAUAUAAUGGAUCUAGAGUAAAGUACAAAAAAUUACUUCAACUAUUGGUGUCACGACACUUUCAUACCUCAUCUUUUAAAAUUGAUAAUGUCAUACCUCAUCUUAUGAAUUUGUGUCCAUGUUAUACAUUCCGUUAGGUUGGCGUGCAUUUCUCAGUUAAAUGCUGACGUGACUUGAUCUUGGGGCAAUUUUCUAUUAAAAAAUUAUUAAAAACUAAAAAAAAAUAUUUAAUAUUUUUUAAAUAUUAAAAAAAAAAAAACCAAACAAACACUCAGUCAGUUCAUCCCCUCCCCCCUUCUCUCUCUUCUUCCCCCUUCCUACAACUCCAACCCAGAAAAAAGAAGAGAGAAAAAAUAAAAAACCAAUUUGUCUUCCCCCUCCCCACCCCCUCUUCUCCCCGCACCCACUCUCCACACCCAACCACCCCACCUUCGCACCCAACCUCGCACCCAUUACCUGCAACCCAAAAAAAAACAAAAAAACCCAGAAGAAAAAAAACCAUAUCCCGUUGAGGUGGAAUCGGGAAGCCUUCGCCAGGCCGAUUCCGAAGGUUGAGAACCUGGGCGCGAAGAAAAUGGGGGGAAUGGGUGUGGAGGGAAGAGGGUGGGUGCAGGGGGGACGGACGAACUGGGUUUCUUAAAACAAAAAACAAAAAAACCCAGAAAAAAAUAAUAAUAUCCCGUUGAGGUGGAAUCAGACCUGCAGCGAACACAAGGAACUGUUGUCCAGAGAUCCCGCCCAAAAGAGUUAUGGGUUUACCAAACUCUGUUUGGGUACCAAGUAUUGGAACCGGGUAAAUCUAGACCCUUCUCUGCGACUAGAUCAUAUAAUCUCCAUAGCUGUCCAAAACGGACUACUAUUGGAUCCUCUUAAGUUGCUUUCCAGCGACUAGAGACGAUAGGCGCAUUGAAGAAUUCUUCGAUCGAGACUGCCAGAUCAAUAGCCGUCGUCAAGUAUGCCUUCGCCAGGCCGAUUCCGAAGGUUGAGAACCUGGGCGCAAAGAAAAUGGGGGGAAUGGGUGUGGAGGGAAGAGGGUGGGUGCAGGGGGGACAGACGAAUUGGAUUUCUUAAAACAAAAAAACCCAGAAAAAAAAAACCAUAUCCCGUUGAGGUGGAAUCGGGAAGCCUUCGCCAGGCCGAUUCCGAAGGUUGAGAACCUGGGCGCGAAGAAAAUAGGGGGAAUGGGUGUGGAGGGAAGAGGGUGGGUGCAGGGGGGACGGACGAACUGGGUUUCUUUUCUUCUUCUUCUUCUUCCUCCUUCUUUCUAGGUUUUUUUUUGGGGAGGGGGGGGACUGGGUUGGGUUAGGUUUUUUUUGUUUUUUUUUUUCUUUUUCUUCUUCCUCCUCCUCCUUUUUUUGGGUUGCAGGGGGUUGGGUUUGUGGUGGGGGGUUUUUUUUUUUUUUUUCCUUCUUCUUCUUCUUCCUCCAUCUUCUUUCUGAGUUUGUUGUUAGGGGGGGGGGAGAACUGGGUUGCAGGAAGAUGGGGAGAGAGAGACGGGUGGGAAGGACGAACUGACUUGAGGUUUUUUUCUUUUUUUCUUUACUUUUCUUUAUUAUUUUAAUAUUUAAAUAAUAUUAAAUAAUUUGUUUUAGUUUUUAAUAAUUUUUUAUUAACUUUUUAAUAGAAAAUGGGUCUCGGAUCAAGUCACGUAAGCAUUUACCUGAGAAAUUCACGCAAACCCUAACGGAAGGUAUAACAUUGGCAUAAAUUCGUAAGAUGAGGUAUGACAUUGUCAAUUUUAAAAGAUGAGAUAUGAAAGUGUCGUGACACCAAUAAUUGAGAUAGUUUGUACUUUAUCCAUGGAUCUAUCAGCACUCUUUUCUUAUUAUGUUAGUGGAGGGACCCAUCUGCAGUGUUGAUAUUUUUUAUAGAAGAUGUAAACAGUCGGUGACCCAUAGCAUUUCCCAAGUUCCAUAUUAAUUUGACAAUAUUUAUAUUAUUCUGAUUAGAAAUUUAACAGAAUUAAUUGUUUUUUAUUUGUAACAAAUAAUUGCUUACAAAUAAUCAAUUCUAUUAAAAAUAAUUGCUUACAAUAAACAAUAACUAUAAUUAAAAUGUAUAUAUAUUAUAAUUUUUUUUAAUUUAUAUUUUUUAACGAAUUGAGAACGAAUCGAGCUAAAUAUCAUAUUGUCUAUGUGUACACACUAACGAAUAGUACUAUAGGUUACAACCGAAUUCCGUACCCGAACAGAAUUACGAACUCGCACCGUGCCACUAAUACUGCGGCUGUUGCUGGUGCUGCUUUGCUGUUUGCUGCUCCUGCAAUUGCACUUGCUUAUUGGCGACGAAGAAAAUCACAGGAUCAUUUAUUUGAUGAACCUGGUUAGUGAACUAUAAGAGUAAUAUAGCUUGAUCAAGUUGGUGUUGUAGUUGUUGAAUGGGAUGCAGGUUUCACUCAUCUACUGUCUUUGCAGCUGAGGAGGAUCAAGAAGUUCAUUUACGACAGCUCAAAAGGUUUUCUUUGCGCGAGCUACAAGUUGCGGAUACCUUUAGCAACAAAAAUAUUAUUGGUAGAGGUGGCUUUGGUAAGGUUUAUAAAGGAUGCUUAGCUUUGGCUUUUGGUAGAGGAGGAUCAAAAGUAUUAUUGGUCGAGUUGGCUUUGGCUUUGGCAAGAUUACAAUUCAACAGUCCGGUCCCAAAUGAUAUGCACAUUGGUUCCGUUCCCUGUAUACAUGUAAGAAGCCUUCAGAGGACUAGAGAAGAUCCAUUUUGUAUUUCAGUCAUACCACACUUGUGCAUAUGUUUUGUCUUUGUUUUUUAUUUUGUUUUUGUCUCAUGUAUUUUUUAGAUCACAAAAAUGGAGCUGGCGUUGUUUUAAUUUUUAUAGGGUUAACUGGCAUUACGAAGUUAUAUGGUGCUAGCAUGAAUUAGGAAGGGCCAUAAAAGUACUCGUUCCUGAUGAUUUAUGUAUCUAUCCAGAAAUUAGUUCAGAUUGUCGAGUAAAUAAUCAUUCUGAACUUAUAACUCUCUAUAUUUUUUUAGUGUUCCUAUAGAUCCUAUAGUUACGAUAAGGACACUAGGUCAAGUGCAUGGGUGUUUGUGGAUAGAUAGUGUUUGAAAUUUCAUUGUGAUCAUUGCAAGUGUGACUUUGUGGCACUACCCUUAUAGGUACUUGAACUAAGGCAUUAGGGGAUCAAGAGAUCACUUUGUGUCAUUCCAACACAAGAAUUCGAGCUUUGUCUAAUCUCUUUAAAGUAUCGCCAAUGGGGAUCCCUCUACUAUCUUUGAGGAUUUAUUUAAGACCAACUAUAGGGUAAGACCCAAACCUAAACAUUUGAGUUUAAACAAAAUAAAAAUGCAAUCUAAUUGCGGGACUUUUUUGUUUUUUUGAACAACAAAUAUUUUCUACACGAAAAGGGUGGGAGAUUAGGUUAAGCCUUACAGUGGACUAGCAAUAAUAUUGUUCAAAUUUUCUUUUGGCGAGAAUCGAACCUAAAUACCUCUCACUUAUAUGUGAAGAAGUAAUACCACUAAACCGUAGUACUAAGUGGCAUCUAAUGGUUGCACAUAAACCUAAAAAGUUUGGCUUUUGACCCAAGCUAAACCCACAUUUGGGUUUGUAUUUGGCUGACCCAAAUUUUUGGGGGCCCUACUUUUUUUGUUUUUGAAAGGUGAAAAUUGUUUAAAAAGUAAGACUACUUGUGGGUUAAACUACCGCAAACCCUCAGUUAGCAUGCAAGGUUUUAUGAAGAGUUAAUGAUCUCAUUCAGAUUCAGGAUGGAACUUCAUCUUCCUUAAUUGUACUAAAGCAUAUUAACUUACAUGACGUUAUGUGUGAAAAUUAUAAGAAAUUGCGCCAUUCAUCUAUUGUCAAUUGGUUUAAAAAGUGAAACUCAUUUUCUUUCAAAUUUUCAUAAAACUGAGGCUAAACGUAUGUGGACCUAUUGAAAAUGUUACAUUUCGAGUUUCUACUCUAAAAUUUUCACAAUUUAGUGCGAUUAAUUUUGUACUUAAUUUCCCAUUAAGGUAGGUCAUAGGCCAAUUAUGUACCAUGAUUACCUCUUAUUAUAAGAUAGAAGUGGGGAGAUUCCAAACAAUAUUUCAUCAGCCAAAGACGAAUCAUAUUGGCCUAAUAAAAGAAAGCUAGGACGCGAUUUGAAAUAAUGAAAACCGUUGUGGCAUAUAUAUUGAUGUUAAUCAAACCAAUAUAUCACGAGAUAAAGUAUAAUUCUACUUUGUUUGAUGAAUCCAUCGAAAUCCUAUUUAAUUUAAGGAGAGGGGCAGAUUACAUCGGUUUGGUUUGACAAUAAAAAAUAAACUGAAUCAAAUAGUAUUCAGUGGUUCAGUUCGAUUCAAUUUUGAUCAAUACCACUAUUCAAAUCGAACUAAACCAAAUAAAAAAUGGAGAGAUCAUAUCGGUUUGAUUUGGUUUGAUUCGGUUGGUUUAAGCCUAUUCAACACAUAAAUAAAAAAACAUUAUACAUUUUAAGAGUUUUAUUCUUCUAAACAUCACACAUCUUGCGCGUUCCAAUUGGAUUGAAAGAUUAAAUUUUUCGGAACAUAAAAGUUCAUCAAGUCAAAUAGAACCAAGUUUCAAUUAAAUAAAGUCUCAUGCUAGCAAACAAUUUAUUAGCUAUAAACCUCAUAUAAGCAUGAAAUACAUAUAAUCAGCUUAUUGUUAAUAAUCAUUACAACUUUGUAAAAUUAAACUAAUUAAUAAUUCAAAGAGACAUGGUCAGUUCGAUUUGGUUUUGAUCGAUUUUAAAAGUAUCAAAAUAGAACCAAAAAAAAAAAUAAAUUGUUUUGGUUCGAUUUUUAAAUUAUUUGUUUUUACUUGAUCACCAAACAGACCAAAUUAAUUUUGUUUGAACCAGUUGAUUUGGUCGGUUUUAAUGCUCACCCCUAUCCAAAAUGCAUGGCUACCAACACUAGAUAAAUUGUAAAUGAGAAAUGCUAAGGAGACUCUCUCAAAAGUAGGACUCUCCAUAGACUUUCUAUCACCUCAUGUUUUUUGCACAAUAUUUUAUAAUGUUGGCACGAAAUUAAUGUUAAACUAUGACGACCCGUCCUUAAUUUUAUGAUUUUAGUAAUUUUAAAAUGUGUGAGAAUUGACGAAAAUGCCCCUAGAGGCGAGGGCGUUGACUUUGUUGACGGUCUUUUUGUGACGCGUUCGAGCUACUAUUUCACCGCAUUCUCGAACUACUCGACGAUACAGACACGUAGGCACAAGCAGAAUCGAAUUCGGAGUUGCAAUGAAAAUUUUACAGAUUUACGAAGUCGAAGAGCAUUUUAAUAAUUUCAUCAUCAUCCUAAAUAUUUGGCUCUCUAUUAUUUUAAUAUUUUCCCUUGAAUUUUUGGUCCAGUGGGACUCCCCACUUCUUUUCCCCCAAAUCUCAUGCUUCCAAAUCACUCGGAACUCUCUCUCUUCCCUAUAUCUUCUUCCUCUCAUCUCUCACCUUUCUCUUCUCUCUGUAUAAAAAAAAAAAAAAAAAAAAAGGUGGAGCCGAGCAGUACAACCACCACCUCACCACCUUUCCAGUGAACUACACCUGAACCACCAUACCAUGUCCCUCUGUCUCUCUCUUGUUAUGCAUCUUUCUCCCUCAAUCUCCAUGUCGUCUCUCUCAUCUCUACAAACAACAGGACAACCGUGAGGUUAAGGUCAUCACCAUCGCCGUCUUCCAUGGCAGAUGACCAUCGAACCAAUGUUCCCAAGAUAUCAUAUCAUCUGAAACCUAGCCUAGGUUUAAUUCCAGACAUCCCAACGGGAAUAGCUCUCGAAUCUUAGAGUUCUAACACUGCGGAGACUAUUCAGCAUGGAUCUCACCACUUUCUAUGAAGGUGAGUGUCGAUUAUGCUUUGUGUGAUCUCCCCCUUGUGGUUUAAAAUGACUUUUAGGCUUAAUGAGUGAAGUUUGGAUUGGUUUCAUGACAUAAAUGGCAAGGGAGGAAGUUUUCCAGAUUUCUGGAAAAUUAGUAACCGUGGUCAUUUGACAACUUUCAGGCCAUUUUUUUGGCCAACACCGACCUUAACUCGGCCUCACCUUGGUAUGGUGUUUCUCUCUACAUUUCUAACUUCAAAAUGGCUCUUGAAUUAUUGAUUUUGGUGGGAGAAUCAAGCUCGAUAUAAGCUCUGGAAGUCGGACAAAAAACCUGCAAAAUGCAGGCCUUCGCAAGGAAGCUGAGUACAAUGGUACUUGCAGGCACGUAGGCAUGCGUGGGCUUUACAUGGGUCAUCGGCGCGUGGAGAAACCCGAGGUCCCUCUUUAGGUUUCUCGACAUGCUGGACCCGAAUCCGCCCUCAUUUUUCCCCACACUUUGUAUGAAAAUGUGUUUAUACGUUAGUACUUUACGUAUUUACAUAUAUGGUUUCGUUUCUAGGCGAAAUGCCUCGAAAGGACUCUCGAUGCUACGAGUCGGGUUCGACUCAACGACAGGAUUUGUGAGUGGGUCUUUUCUUGAUACAUACAUACAUACAUACAUACAUACAUACAUACAUACAUAUAUAUAUAUAUAUGUUUAGUUUCCAUAUAUACAUCUAAUAAUGAAUUUUCUAUAUGAAUGUCAUAGUUAAAUUAAUAUUUAUAGAAAAUGACGUAACGAAGAGAAUUAGGAAAAUCAUUAUGAAUCUUACGGGAUGCCUUAGCUAAAUUUACGGCUAUGAAUAAUAUUAUGUUGACUAGAAUUAUCAAAUCAUUAUGGCAUGGCUACAUUUAUGUUAUUUGCUCAUCGUUUGCUGCACCGGUGUUAGUACUCGCCUGGGCCAGGGCCAAUCUUUCACGUGUAUGUGCACAUCGCACUGUACGCUCACUUUGGAUCCCUUGUAGGUGUCAGUCCUAUCGUACAGGUUGCAAUAGGCAGCUUCGACUUGUAUGUGUUGCGCAUAGCGCCAGUCUUCGCAUGAUUGUAGUACUAUAGUGUAUAUCAUUGUUACACCCAGUCCUAUUCAUGUCAGAAUACCUCUGCAUGAACUCAUGUGUCAGCAUGUGUCAAUGAGNCCACUAAACCGUAGUACUAAGUGGCAUCUAAUGGUUGCACAUAAACCUAAAAAGUUGGCUUGACCCAAGCUAAACCCACAUUUGGUUUGUAUUUGGCUGACCCAAAUUUUUGGGGGCCCUACUUUUUUUGUUUUUGAAAAGCAAUGGGCAAAUUAUAUUAUAUACUAAAAGAGAAAAACGCCUGAAUCACUAUUCAUAGUACAGUGGAUUUUCGAUUUUGUCCUCGCUUAUUUGUCUAUUAUUAUAGCCUUGCCCCUAUUGCUUUGCUGUCAAAUGCUUAACAGUUUCGCGACGCGUGGAAAUUCCGGAGCCUUCUUUGUUAUUUUUCCCUCACCAUUUGGCUGUUUCCUCGCCCACCGCAUAAUUCUUCUACUGCUGCCAAUCCAUAAACCACAACGCGAAUCCGACCGCCUCUUCUUUCCCCUUCACUUUCACGGUUCCACCCCAACAUCAUCGGUAAGCUUUGAAACGUUUUUAUGGGUGUGAGUUUCUGAAUGCAUGUCUAAACUUUGAUUGGAAUUUGGUUGUUUCCUUAAUUCCCAUCAACCCUUCUCACAACUUCAUCUAAAAUGCUCUGCAUGUAAGAUCUGUGUUCGUGUAGGUCAUUUCAAAGGGAUUUCAAGCUGGGUUGCAAAGAUUUGAUUCAAGUUUGUGGAUUUGGGUAAGAAAUUAAGAACCCCUAAUCUUUUCUUAAGGUUUUAAAUGCCACAUGCAUCACAAUAAUCCAUUCAAAAUCACAAUUUUCCUCCGUGCUUCCUCCGUUAUUUCUUCACCAUCAACCUUGCGGCAACUUCCUUGCCGAUUCGAGCUGCUCGACCAUGACAUGAACGCCGCCUCCACACGUUUGACUCGCUGUACGUCCUUGGCUUGCCGCUCUCCUUAUCUCCCGGUGAUUCAUUCUCCUCAUUGGAUUCUAUUUGGGUGAGUUCUUGGUUGAUACUCGCCCCCAUGAUUUUUCAAUUUGGUUUUUUUGGGUGUCUUUAGUCGUCGUGUUGAUAAAAAUUUUCUGCGUUUUUUUGCUUUUCGUUUGUGGUUUUUUUUUAAAUUUUUUUGGGGGUUUGAUGAAUGAAUUUGUGUGGGAGUUUUUGAAGUUUUAUUAAUUAUGUUGUAUUUGGGCCCCUGGGUAAGCUUAGAAACCUUUGUAGAUGUCGCAUGCAUGUAGAUUUUUCUUCAAACAUAUGAAGAAUUGUUAGUCUGCUGUACAAUUUCCUCUGCCACCCUUGGAAAAUCAACAUGCACAGACAUUUUAGAAUUCUUCAUUUAAAUUUGCAGGGUUCAGGACAGUUUUUCUUUUAAAGUUAUGGGUUCUUUUGAUAUGAUUUUUUUUUAUUUGAAUUAUUCAUUUAAUUUUUGAGAUCUUUUAGCAAAUCUCCAAAUUGACUCAUAAUGAUUAGGCUUGAAACAGAUGCUAUAAAUCAGUUUUGGUGGAGGAGUUGUUCCGCAGCCUCAGGAAAAAUAGAGGAAUGUUUUUGAAAUAAGGUCUGAUCGAAACUUUUGUAUAAAAUUUCACAAUUUUUGAGUUUUAAGCCAUUCAAAUUCACAUUUGCCUACAUUAAUAUAUUAAGUAGGUUACUUAUUGAUUUUUUUUUGGGAUUUUCUGUUUUUCAUGGUUUCCUAAUCCUUUGUCCGACUUGAAUGUGUAGCUAAGCAUACCAGCAAAUCAAAAGGUUUUUUGAGACGGAGGGGUGCUCUGGCUAUUCCAAUAGUUUCGGUACUGCUAGCAUGUGGUAUUAAUCAUUGUGUUGCCUUUGCCAUGCUAAGCGGAUAAAAAAAGAGUAAAACAAAAGGUAUGAGAAGUAGUCAUCCCCUCUGAAUUGUUUAACGGUUUGAUCUAAAUAAAAGCAAUGCAAUUUCAUCUUAAUGAAUGUCUACAAUUGGUUCAUGUGAUAGCACAGACUAUACGGAGAGAGAUGAACUUGAAGAAGCGAGGAGACACCCCGAGUUGCAAUAUUUCGGUCUGAGCACCAUAAUAGCAGCCACAGAUAACUUCUCACCCAUUAACAAACUCGGCCAAGGGGGUUUUGGCAUUGUUUAUUAGGUGAAUCCCAAUUCAGAAGUCUUACACAUUUUACAAUUGAAUGAUUUCUUCUAAGCAUUAUACAGUAAUUUUGUUCUGUUUCUUAUGUCUACUGUUUUUUUUUUUUUUUUUUUUUUUUUUUUUUUUUUUUUUUUUAUAAAGCAUGAAAGCCUAAUAGUAAUACUGAUUCAUUACUUCAGGGCCACUUGCCAAAUGGUCAGAUUAUUGCUGUAAAAUAUGUAGAUUGCACUUGAACAAGGUUUGUUUCUCGAAUCACAUUCAUUAGUUAGAUUAUUAAUGUGCUUCGAGAGGGGUUUUCAAUAUGAUUUUGUAAUUUCCCUUGAGAACUGUUUACACGUUUCCAUAUGGGUUUUUUGAACUACAGAAAAUUUUGUCAUUCCUAAGAUUUAAUUGUUGUUAUUGUAUAGUUUAAUUAUUUUCCCCUAAUAUGAUUGAAUGGUAAUUAGUUGUAUAAAUUUGGCUUUGACCGUUCUUUCUCCUCCUUGGGUUCUAUUUCCGUCUCUGACCCCAUUGAACUUCAGUUGAGCUCAAGUAAGCAGUCCUAGCGGCCAGCCUUCUUUUAGGUCACUCAAGGAUAAUUGGGAUCAAAUAUUCGCAUUUUCAUUGUUUGAAGUAGGAAGCACCACUUUUUCCUCUAAUUUUGUUUCUUCUGAAAUUUAAUGGUUCUGAUUUGAAUCAUCUUGCAGAAGAUUGAGAAACAGAAGGUUGGAGGACUAGAUGAUCAAGCAUUGACUUAUUUUUAAAGAAAAGGUAAACCACGAAAAUCCCAAAGUGAUAUCCCACGACCUACAACUAUUUUUGUAUUUGAUUAAUUUAAUUCUUAAUAUUUUUCCGCGUUGAUUUAUGUUGAACUAUGUCUGAAAGGUGGCCUUUGUUCAGAUUGAAAUACAAAAUUAAAUCACAUUUGAUCAGUUAAAUCACAUCUAUAUUAAUGUGCAAAUUUGCAGGAUAUUGACUAUAAUAUUCACUUAGUCAGUUCUCUGUAUUAUCCUUUCUUCAACAGGGGUUGAGAACAAUAUUUAAUAUGUAGGUUGAAUUGAUUGAAUAUUUGGUUUUGUUGGUUGAAAAGUUUAAUAUCGUUUAUUUGUAUGCUCUGAUCUUUGGUUGACGCUGUUAUGUGGAAAAGACCCCUUAUAAAAGAUUAGAGAUGUAACUGGUACUUUGUCUAUAUUCCUGUAAUUUGAUUGUAUAUUGUUUUAUUUACUUUUGUAGGUUAGAGUUUUUAAUUUUUAUGGGUUUAUUGAAUGCGUAAUUCUCUAAGCAUUCGAAAAGGUAAGAUUUGGGAGAGUGAGAAUUUGUAAUUACCUUGAGAGGAAUUCUUUUUAUUGCAUCUACAAAAUAUUUAACAUCAUCUACUAACAACGCUUUGGCUUUCCAGUAAACAAAUAACAGAAGGACCUCCAUACAUUCAUGAGCAUCACUUUUAUUUAGUGGAUUACAAUGAAUUGUUAUCUCACGUAGAUAAAGUUGAAAUUCUCAUAGGUAAUUAAACACAUUUAUAAAUCUACAUCUAUAUGCCAUUUUUGUUUGCCAACAUUUUUUCAUCCUAUAAUCUUAUAAUAUUGGAUUGCCAAAUUGCAAGAUAUUGUGGGACGCAUCACAUCAGUGCAACCAGACAGUUUUGAAUCCCGCAGCAUUGCGCGGGCUUCACUGCUUGUGAUUUACUAAAGUGGCCGACAGAUGGACCCCUCAGCUGGCAGGGUACCAGUUGCAAAACGGUAACAUUUUAAGGGACUACGAGCCGUUUUAUUUUUGGGCCAUUGGUUUUUGGGCCAUUGGUGAUCAACGGUCUAGGUUAAAAUCUUUUUUUGUUUUGCAAUCUUUAGAUUUUGAUCUGAUUGUUCAUAUUUUUUUUUUCAAAUCUAAUUGUAAAAAAAAUCCAACUGCUGAAAUUUAAAUUAAAUGUCAAAAUAAUAAAAUAAUUUUUUAGAACAUAUCCACUUUACAUUUGGAUGGUGUGUGUAUUGAAGUUUGGUUGGUUGGUGUGAUUUGUUCGGUUUUGAAAAUUUUGUCGAAAUUUAAUCAUUUAAUGUCAAAAUACUCGUCAAAUUAAAUUAAAAUAAUAUAAUUCAAAAGUACAAAAAAAAUUAAAAAAAAUCCCACCAAAAAAAUUAGGGUUAAAACUAUAUUCCACAACAAUUAGCAUUUUAGGUCCUGAAAUUUAGGUCUUGGUAUUUGGGUGAUAUUCACUGUUCAUAGACUUAAAUUCCGUCUUUUUAAUGGUCUUUUAAAGGGGUGUGUAGUCAAAUUAGGAUUUGAUAGCAUUUUGAUGGAUUUUAAAAUCUAAGUGCAUUCAAUUAGGAUUUUAAAAGAUUUUGAAAUCAUAGUGUAGUCAAAUUAGGAUUUUAUAGGAUUUUAAAGAAUACAUCAAAAUCCAAGGAUAGUCGAUUAGGAUUUUAAAUGAGUCUGCAGAUGUCUAGGUGUAGUGAAAUUACCAAGGAUUUGCUAGGAUUUUGAUGAGUGAUGGAUUUUAAUGGAUUUGAGGGUUUGUGGUAUAAAUACCAAAUGUUAUCCAACCCUUACCCCUCAAAUUUCUUUUCACACCAGAGGAACAGUCUUCUCCAUUUGAGAGGACCUACUGUGAACUCAGCCGACUUGGACUUCUAUGGCUGGUCGUGAAAUCUUUGCAAGCAUGAGAAGAUGUCCCAGCACCACCAACUUAUUUUUUUCUUUCUUCACCGACUACCCAAACAUCUCACGUAAAUUCCCUUGCUGACUCUUCCUUUCCCUUCAACUACUUCCUAUCUCUGUUGUACUUUUAUUUACAGAAUACACCUUGUUCAAUUUUGCUUUGGUGCCUUUGAAAUGUCACCAUUUAUUAUUAAAACCAAUCAACGUCACUCUCGAAACACGUAUUAUUUGGCUUGGGUUGGAUCAAUUCAUCCAACCUGUAUACAUUCUAAACAUUAUUAAUUUGUGCUAUUACUACGGUAUGAAAAUAUGCAAUUAACUAGUCCUUGGAUUGAGGAUCGUGAUUUCAGACAGUGUAGUAGAAUACACAUAACAAUUAGGGUUUCAAUUGCAGAGAGUUGGAGAGGUUAAUCUCAGCCACAGAGUUUCAUUAAAAAUGAUCUGACGGCAUUGUAUGUGAUUUCUAAAUUUUUUUAAAAUCCUAGGAAAUCCAAGAAAGAAUCCAUACAAAUCCAUACAAAUCUAUAAGAGAAAUCCACAUAAAUCUGUCAAAAUCCAUAUGGAAUUGUAGAGUCCAUUAAAAUCCUUUAAAAUUUGUCACCUAAACAAAAUCCAUUAAAAUCCUCUAAAAUUCAAAUUGAUUACACCCCCUAAAUAUUUUGGUUUGGGUGUAAGGGUUGGAGUUGGUCUAAGGACUUUAAUGGAAUCUUUGAAUUCCUAUAAGUGUAUUGCCUCAUAGCGAACCGGGAUCCUCGCAGGAUCCAUUCCCUAGGGAUCCCGCAAUUCUAUCCGUUCAUCGUAUAUCAUGCGGUCAGUUUUCGUUAGGUACUAUUUACAUUCGAAUUUUAAAUUUUAAAUUUUAAAUGAUUUCUAACCGCACGAUAUACGAUAAACGAACAAGAUUGCAAGAUCACUAGGGAAUGGAUUCGACGAGGAUCUUGGUUCUACAAUAGCUUCACUAUUGGCUAUAGCUUAUGUCAUGGUUUAUAUUAUAGCUCAUGUCAUGGUUUAUUAUUUCUAAUCAAAGUUAGACUUCGACUCUUUGCAACCCUUGGUCAACUAAAUGAGUUAUUAAUUAAAAGUCGUUUGAUAAUUAUUUUGUUUUUAAUUUUUAAUUUUUAGUUUUUACUUUUCUGUUUUGAAAUUAGCCAAAAUGGUCUCUGAAAUUAGCAUAACUUCUCACUUUGAUUCCUGAAAUUUAAAAUUGCCAGAAGUGAUUCAUGAGUUUGUUAAUUAUCAAUCAUUUUGAUCAUUAUGUUAAAAAUAUCCAUUAAAUAAGGAGCAAAUAACAAAAUAACCUCAAUUUAAUAAAAAAUGGGCCAUAAUAAUUUGAUAAAAAUUGAGUGUAAUUUUGUUUUUUCAUGAAAUGAUUAAAAUAAGGGAACUUUAAUGAAAAGUUUAUAGUACUGUUCACUUUAACGAAAAAUCAUAUUUUUACAAUAAAAAGUUAAUCCUGGUACUAUUCAUUUUACCCAUUAUUUUGUCAUUAUCAUUAAAACUCAAAGUUUUCAAACCAUUUUUAUUAAUUUUUCUUUAAAACAAUUUAUAGUGGAUUAAACCAGAAAUCUCAUUUUGAGUGAGGAGUUGCAUAGCAAUUUCAGGAAUCAGCUGAAAAGUAAAAAAUAAAUAUAAACAAAAGAAGAAACGAAACUUCCGACCUGGUGGGUUGCGACUUUGGUUUGGUAUUGCUGUGCUUUGAAAAAAAACUGUUUCUGCUGUGCUGUGAGAAUAAGCAGCUGUGAAAUAAAACAGCAGAGUGUUUGGUAAAUUUUUUUGUAAAAAUGCUUUUGAAAAAAAAAACAGUAUUAUAGUGUUUAGUAAACUUUUAUGUAAAACAGAUGUGAAAAAAAAAAAACCGAUUUUUCAAAGUUGGGUUUUGCAGCUUCCUGUUUUUGGUUUUUUUCACACAAAACUGUAAAAAAAAAAUGUGAAAUUGAAUGUUUACCAAAUACAAUAAAGCUGCCAGCUUUUUUUUAUACCAUUUUUUUUCAGAAUUACCACCGUACCAAAUCAGGGCUUAAACUGACUGAGAGGUCCUCUAUCCGCAGCUCCUUCGUCUUCCUCCCAAGCCUUUUACCUUUUCUUUCUUUCUUCUCCAAAACUAGCAAUCUGAGAUUUCAACCUCUCUCUCCAAGGAGCAGCGGCAUGCUUUUCCAAACGUAAUCUGCAAUUUAAUCAAACAGCCACCAAAUUUUCUGGAAUCCGGUCAAUGCAGAGAUUCUUCGGAUUUUGAUCGGUCAACGCCAGCUGCUUACCUGAGCUCUAACAGACACAACAGUGAUAACGUCCUCCACCUCUGUCUCUGUUUGGCUGAUUCUGCUGUUUCGCUUCUUUCACCUCCACAAGCUUGCUGCCAAUGUCGAAGGUAUGUCUCUGUGUGUUAUUGAAAUUGGGAGUGUUUGGUUGUGGGAACUGGAAUGAACUAAUGAAUGAAUGACUGGAAACAUUCCCGAAGAGCUUGGGGGUUUGUCAGACUUGGU